CUUUUUUUUUUUUUUUUUUUUUUUUUUUUUUUUUUUUUUUUUUUUUUUUUUUUUUUUUUUUUUUUUUUUUUUUUUUUUUUUUUUUUUUUUUUUUUUUUUUUUUUUUUUUUUUUUUUUUUUUUUUUUUUUUUUUUUUUUUUUUUUUUUUUUUUUUUUUUUUUUUUUUUUUUUUUUUUUUUUUUAUUUUUUUUCUUUUUUUUUUAUUGUCUGUUUUUUUCUUUUAUCCUGUUUUUCUUCCUUUUCAAGAUCUUGAAAAGAGAGAGAAAAUGAGAGAGAGAGAAUGAGAAAGAGAAAACGAGGGAAAGAGAAUGAGAGCAAGAGAGAGAGAGAGGAGGAGAAAUUUUUGGAGUUUUUUUAUUUUUAGUGGCUUUGAUAUUGAAAAUACUAUAUAAAGAAUUUUAGAUGAAAUCAGUCAGUUGAUACAAUUAUUGUUGUUAUGUGCUAUUAUCGUAUGAUAAGCGGGUGGGGCUUUUCUUGUUUUCGUAAACAUCAAGAUUUUAUUGGUUGGGUCUAUGAUUCCAGCCUACAUGAUACUCAAAAGGGCCCUGGUUCAUCUGGAAAUGAAAAGUGCUUUAUGAACGUUUGGAUUGGUGCUUCCUUGACUCGGUUUGGUAACUUCAAUUUCUACCCACCUAUAUCGUGUUAAGUCGGAUCACCGACCUAUUUUCAUGGUUGCGACCAAGCUCAAGAAGUCAAAUCUUCCUCAUACCUUUCGCUUUAUGGCUUCAUGGUUGUCACAUGUUGAGUUUAAGCCUUUUUUUGUCGGAAUGGAAUCGGUCUUUUACCUUUAUUCAUCAGAUGUCCAUUCGAGCUACCAAACUGAAAAAAUGAAAUAAGGAAAUUUUUGGCAACAUCCAAACGAAUAGAAGGAGCUUAUCUUUAAACUUGCUGAUGUUUAAGCUCUCGCAGCUCCUCUACUCAUUCAAGACACCACAAUGGACAUUGCAAGUGACCGGAAUACUCAUUUUUUUCACGUAUCCACCUUCCGUAGGCGUGCUCGGAACCACAUUAUUAAGUGAAGGAUGACUGUGGGGUGUGUAUUCAUUAGGUUUGGGAGUCGGUUAAUUUGGUUAAUAACCAUCGGUUAAUGGUCGGGAAGCGCUUUGAUGAUUGAAAUUAAUUAACCAAAUUAACCGACCGAGCAAAAGCCACGGUUAAUCUUACCGACCGAUAACCGACCAAUCAGUUAAAUGAUCGAUUAUUAACAGACUGACUCUCGGUUAACCGUUGUAACCGGCUCUGACCAAUUUAACUCUCUUCUCAUAUUGCAACAAGAUUCUAGGCUCUGGCUCUAGAUCCGUCGUCGAUUCAAGCCUUGGAGACCAUAGCUUCUCUUCUGGAAACAAUCCGGUGCUCUACAACUUGAUCCUUCGGGACUGGAAGCUUUCCGAGACGGCGUUGUUGCGGAUCAGUAAGGAGAGGAGGAAGCUUCAAGCCUAUGGUGUUGCAGAUCGAAGAAUUGAGAGAGUGGAGGAGGAGAGGAUUGGCCGUGGCGACGAAGGAAGCAUGUGGUGUUGCAGAUCGAAGAAUCGAGAGAGUGGAGGAGGAGAGGAGCGCUUGCGGUGACUCGUCGUGGUCGUCGUCGUGACUGCCGGCGAGAUGCUGAAAUUGAAUCGCUUGGAUUGAUAGAGUUGUCGAGAUGGAUUGAUGGAGUUGUCGAGAUGGAUUGAUGGAGAUGGCUCGGAGUUAACCUAAUUUCAGAAUGAGAGGUUGUGAUGGAGUGGGAGGCUGGGAGGGGAGGGAGCGAUUCUGCGAUUGUGGUGAGCAAAGCUUGAUUUCCUAAUUGGGGACCUUGGUUUUUUUAAUUACCGGUUAACGUUGGUUAACUCGAGUUAACCAACGAUUUUACCCUGCUCCAACAAGUACUCCCAACUGUUCCCCGACCGACCCCUACCUCGGUUAAACCGACACUCUAACCGAGUCGAUCAGUUCAUCUGUUUAACCUAUUAACCGAGACUGAUGGCCCACCCUUAGUAUUCAUCCAGCUUGUUGCUGCAAUUAGUGUCGUAUUGAUAUGGUUGAGAGAGGAUAAAAUAUGCUUGAUUUCAAGUUCUCCAACUUGAAAGGUUUAGCUGUUAAAAAUGUAGAGGUCAUGACUGAGUACUGAUUUCCAGCAAGGAGAAGUUGGAUAUUUGCUUGCGAUAAAAAAGAAUUUGGACAGUCUAUCUUAGGCACAAAAUCUAACGGAUGAGAUGGCAACUUUACUUCAGGGGCCUAUUGGUCAUUUUAAAAUUUUCUUGUUUUUCAGUUUAUUUUUCCAUUCUGUUUAAUAUUGGUUCAAGUAAAAUGAUUUCUUGUAAAUUGGGUCUAUUGAGUAACGUGGGUGGGUAGACUUUAUUGCUCCCAUCGAGCUUGACGUGAUAUUUUCUUCUUCGUUUCUUUAACAUGCAUAAAUUGUAUAUAAUACGAAAGGUUGGAAAUAUAUGUGAAGCUCGAGGUUUAUUAUAUAUGUUUCGAGGUUUAUUAUAUAUGUUGAACCUUUUUGCCAAUUGGUUAUUUUUAUCAUGUAGUGCCUUAUCAAGUAAAGGGAAUGGUUGUUUUUAUCUACUGUCACUAGCCAACUUUCUUUCUCAUGUGAUCAAUUAUUUGAUCACGCAUGAAUGACUACAGUACACAAAAGAUAGAAAUAUUAUAAAAACAAAAAACAAAUAUUAAAAAAAAAUACCUAAAAAGCAGGUACAUAACAACAAAAACAAUAACCGUAAAUAUCAAGUACAUGAAAGCGGAUGCUCAAAAUAAGCACGCACACAUUAAAAACUUUGGUACAUACAAGGCAAGAAAAUCGAGAACAUAUUGGAACUCGAGUACCGGAAUUGGUACGGUAUUAAGUACAACGUGAAGAAAUAUCAAGUACAUUAAAAAGCGAGUAUAUAACAAUAGAAAUAAGUACACGAAAACAACUCAGAGAAAUGAUAAUUUGAUUGCCAAAAUUGAGUAUGAUAAAGUAAAAUGCAAGCACGUAGUACAUGAAACAAAUAUGAGUAAGAGUACAUAAAUUUUUUAGUACAAUACAAGACAAAAACUCAAAUACAUAUAAAAACUGGACACUAAAAAAAAUAAUUAAUUAUUCACAAUUUUAAAUAAUAAUAGUCACGAUUUUUAUCAUGAUUAACAGAAGCUAGUCACGAAAAUAAAUCCGUAACUAACCUAACCGAUGCUAGAUGAACUUGUCACGAAUCUGAAUAACCUGUAACUAAGUUGUCACCGAAAUUUUCCGUGACCAACUCAUCACGGAAGAAACCGUGAACAUAUGUGUUUUUGUUUUUGUUUUUUAAAUUAGUGGCACGGAGCCAUAUGCUGUGAUAAUUGAUUUAUUAAUAAAUUAAUCCCACAUCUCCGUGGCUACUAUAUCACCAGAAUUUCCAGAUUCCGGCAACCACAAUUUCCAGAAUCCGGCAAUAAGAUAGAGUUGAUAAUUGCUUUUUUAUUAGAGUAAAAUGUUCUACAUCUAUACAUUAUGAUACCCAUAUCAAAAUUCCAGAAUCCCAAAAUUGAACAUAACGUCAACGAAAGGCACCAUGCAACAAUGGUGACACUAAGGGUUACAACAACCAGCAAAACCGAAACACAGACUGGAAAUGCUACCAAGAGAAGGAUGAGACUAGAUGAUGAGAUUGAGAUUGAGAGAAGAAAAAUGAUAGUAAGAAAUUUUGUUUUCGAGAGAGAUCAAAUGAAGAUGAGAUCUACUUCUAAUUUAAUAUAAUGGAAAUGGAGAUAUGGUUGUUUAAUGGCAAAGAGAGAAGAAAGGAAUAGCCCAUUAAACGAGGAUAGAGUCUGCAUCAUUUCUUUUUUCGACCUUUUCCCACUAAAAUGCUAAUUUUAAAAUUAUAAAUAAAAGUUGGUCACGGUUCCAACAUUUACCGUGAGUAGUUGGUCGCGGUAUUCAACAAUCCAUGACUAGUUAUGGAUUUUUUUUUAUCUAUAAGUAGUUAGUCAUGGUUUUUAAAGCCGUGAUUAAUAAAUCGUGAUUAAUCGUUGAUUUUUUUUGUAGUGCGAGUAUGAGUAUUGAGUAAAACGUCAUGUACAAAAACAAGUACAUCAAAAGCGAGUACAUAAUUAUCAAAACAAGUACUAAAACGAGAGGAAAAGUACAUAAAAAGCGAGUAUAUAAUAAUAGAAACAAGUGCAGUAAAAAUCAAGUGCAUGAAAGGAAAACGAAACUCAAACUAAACACUAAUACAAAAAAAACUUUAGUACGCAAAUAAGUAAAUACAAGAAAAUUAACAUACACAAACGAAUACAUAAGAGUAUAGUGUUUAAACAAAGCGAUUAUACGGAUCAAUACGAUGUUGAGUACAAAACAACAACUUGAGGCUUUAUCCCUCAUUUUUAGAUGAUUUUGUACUAAGUUCUUAUAUGUAUUAGUUUUUAUUAAUGUAAUCCCUCGUGUACUUUGUCUUUGGAUUUAUUUUUAUGCCAUAUCUAUUUAUUUACGCAUUUGUGUAUACUUAUAUUUUUAGAACUUUAUACUCAAAUCAAUUAAUCAAACAAUAAAACUAUUUUCUCUUUACACGAACCAACAUAAUAACCCAUCACCCCAUACAGGGUUGUGAAGGAGGUGCAGUGACCAGAAUUUUCUAGUUGUUGCUUUUCUAUAGUUUGAUAAGGGUAAGCAUCUUGUUCUAGAAUAUAUGUUGUUAGGUUAUAACAAUGCAUCUAGUUGAGCAUGAUUCUUUGGUCAAGUGUUACUGGGAUUCUUUUUGUUCCACAUCAAUGCUCGGAGGUCGAAGAGGCAACGAGGGUGACGAAGAAAUCGGCAUCACCACGUGAGAGAAGAUGAAGAAGAGGUCAGAGAGUGGAGCCGGUGGAAAAGAUAUACUAGAAGAGGUACUUAAAGUUACUUGUACGACAAAACUGCCCUUAUUCAAUUGGACAACCCCUAGAUUAAAAUUUAAAAAUGAACGGACGCGAUUCGUUUGCGGCCAGCAAACACAUAAUAUCAUGGCUGCCUAUCCGGACUCGUCAUAACUGGCGUCAACAUUACGUAGUGUUGUCAAAAAUUAAAAAGGGGAAUAUAUAAUAAUAAUAAUAACAGACGUAAUCUUGUGUAUAUAAUGAUAUUAAAACGUUUUUCAAUCGACAAAGCCAAGUCUGCGGGAGGAACAGCUAAUGGACGAACAGCCUAAGCAUAAGCCGCCUUCUUCGUAUUCUUCAGAUUCUCUGAAUCUCUACCCUUUUUUUUUGUUACGCGGAUUCCCUUCCCUCGUCUGCAAACAAAAAGCUCUUCGUUGACUUUUUAGCAGGCUUUUUUAAAAAACCUUAAUUGAAAAAAUUUGUACAUGGUUGUUGCCUUUGUUGGCGUCAGCAUGACCCAAUGCUGUUGUCAUGUUCAUGAUUGCUCCAACUCACCUGGCUGCGCAUCUGCCUUCUGACCUGACCUGCCCUCCUCCUUUUUUUUAAAUUAUGUUUCCCCAAAAUUAAAUUUAAAUCGUUACAAAAUUGGUCUCUCCUUCUCCUAUAUAUAACGUGGAAGAGCUCCUGCCAAAAAAGUCAUUCAAACUCAAAGCAGAUAAAUUAUCAAAAUAAAAAAGAAAACCCCAGUGCUCUGCCUGCCGUUAAGAAAUUAGUUUAUUGGGUUUGUUGUGUUUAUGAAAGCUGUGUUCCAGAGACUGAUAUCGUCAAGCACCCAGAUUGGCUGUAGGAAGAAAGUUGCAUCUUUUCCAUUAAUCAGAAGCGCUAAUAUGUCUGAAUCCUCUGCCUUUGAUUCUCCGAGAUUGGUGACCAAGAAGGUCCUUGCUAAGCUUCAGCGUGAAGGGGAUGGUGCUUCUGUCAGGAGAAGCAUUGGAAGGUAUAAUAUAAUAUAUCAUGGAUGGAUGGAUGGAUAUACAAUUUUCUUCUUGUCAAAAUUGAAUUAACUGUUUUCGUUUCUGUGGUGAAAUUGAAUGAUUGAAUGUUGAAUUAUUUUGGUUCAGGAGUGAGCUCAGGUCUCUGGACCCUUUCCUCAUGUUGGAUGAGUUUUCAGGUCUGCUUUGCUUAAUUACUUGAAACCAAAUUCCUUGAUAUUUUCUAGAAUUAGGAUGAUGAUGGAUGAUGGAUGGUAUUUAAUUUGUUGUUGCAAAUUGCAAUGCAUGAAGUCUCAGCUCCUGCUGGAUUUCCUGAUCAUCCACACAGAGGUUUUGAGACUGUUACAUACAUGCUGGAGGUACAGACAGUACUGGAGUUAAUUAUUUAUUAUGAAUUGAAGGCUGUUUUUUGUCCUUGGUAGUCUAUUUAUUGAUGUCUGUGAAAUUCGUGGGUGGCACUGGCAGGGAUCAUUCACUCAUCAAGAUUUUUCUGGGCAUAGAGGGACUAUUCAUGCCGGGGAUGUUCAAGUAAAAUAAUUCACUCAAUUACAAUACUACGACGUUUACUUAAUUAGCUAGCUUUACUUGAUCAAAGUCAAAAACUCUUUCUUUUUUUAAAGUAAACAACAACAACAACUUGUGUGUUUUCCUGUUGGGCAGUGGAUGACAGCAGGUAGAGGGAUAGUCCAUUCAGAAAUGCCUGCAGGAGAAGGAGUCCAGAGAGGCCUUCAGCUUUGGAUAAACCUCUCUUCUCAACAUAAAAUGUAUGUUUUUAUUUCCUUUUUUGUUUGUACUUUCCAACUUCACCAUUCCAACAGUUUGUAAUAUGGAACCAACAGGAUUGAGCCAAGGUAUCAGGAACUUCUGAGGCAGGACAUCAAAAGAGCAGAGAAAGACGGGGUUGAAGUCCGAAUCAUAGCAGGGGAAUCAAUGGAAAUCGAGUCUCCAGUUUAUACAAGGACCCCAACAAUGUACCUUGAUUUCACACUGCAACCAAGGUCCCAAAUGCACCAGCCCAUUCCAGAAUUAUGGAACGCAUUCAUUUACGUCAUUGAAGGUGAGGGAGUGUUUGGGAUCCCAAACUCCUCACCAGUUGAAGCACAUCAUACACUCGUUCUAGGCCCUGGUGAAGGAAUGAGCGCCUGGAACAACUCCUCUUCCAAACCCUUGAGGUUUGUCUUGAUUGCAGGCCAGCCACUUAACCAACCAGUGGUGCAGCAUGGUCCUUUUGUCAUGAACACAGAAUCUGAAAUCCACCAAGCAAUUGAAGAUUACCACUACUCCAAAAAUGGGUUUGAAAUGGCGCAGUAUUGGAGUUCCCAAUAGGGAACAAGUAAGUGCUUGGAUCACUCAAAACCAAAUCUCCACAUUCCCUCUCAACUUUGAAGAAGAAAAGAGUAAAGAAUAAAAAUACACAUCCACAAACACUAAAGGCCACACGCAUAUGUGAGUGAUACUCAUUUGUGUUCCAUCAUGUAUUAAUUUAGCUUUUAUCCUCUUCCAACCUUUUACUAUUCCAAAUCAAAAGGUUGAUUAUUGCAUUGUCACACAAAACAAUGAUAAUAAAAAUACUCAAUUCAUAUAAUCCUUAGAAUUAAUUCUUUUCAUAACUAUAGUAGAUGUUUGAACAAGUGAGAACAAAAUAUAAGCUUAAUCUUAAUAGUAAUAUCAACGGAUAAUAGCACUGUGUGUCACUUAAUUAUUACCCAUGUCGCACAUAAACUACUUAACUUUCUACAUUGCACAUAAAGCCACUUAACUUUGCUUAUGCUUGCAACAUCCAAAUUUUCAUUCAAUUUAUGGAUAGACUGAUCGAAUUGAUGAGUUCUUAUUCGAGAUCUUCUGUAUGAAUAACCUCCAACACAUUAAAGAGAACAAUAAUUUAUAAGAACUGACAGAAUAACUUAUUACUUGUUUACAGAAAAGAAUGAUAAAAUAAAAAGGCAAGAAUAGAUUAUAAUCAUGCCUUGGACACUGCUUUCGAAAAAAUAUUUCCCGAAUUUAGAACACCAAUACAACUAAAGGUUAAUCACAAUAUUCACUCAAACUCUAGUGUAGGGCUUGAAUGUUGGAACUUGGAAACUUAUGCUAUUUUGAUUCCGAUUUUGAGAGUGAAAACAAAGUUUUCUGCCCAUAUUAAUCAACUAGGAUUUCCCUUUUUAAAGAGAACGCAUCCACUAACCAACAUCAAAUCCAGAUUCUCCUUUCUGAUGAUCAUCAAUGAUAAGCAGAUAUGGGGAAGGUGGAGUUGAGCUCCCGAUUUCUAGGAAGCCAACCAAAUACUUCUGUUAAGCAUAAGUCUUGAGUAUAUGCGGUAUGUAACUGAUCAUUACUGUUACUUCAAGUGGUUAGAUAAUGGUUACAUCAUCUUGCUGUUGUCCGUUGAUGACAUGUUGAUAGCAAGUUCUAUUGUAAAAGAAGUAAACAAGUUGAAGAAACAGUUAUCUAACAGUUUACUAUUAAGAAUAUAGGAGACGCUAAACAGAUUUUGAGUAUGUGCAUUGAUCAUGAUAGGCAAGUAGGAAAGUUUUAUCUUUCGCAAGUUGAAUAUAUCAAGAAAGUCUUGAAGAGGUUCAAAAUGCAGGAUGCAAAACUAGUAAAGAUUCCUUUGGGUGGCUAUUUCAAGCUAUUUGAGAAGGAUAUGCCUAAUAAUGAUCCAGAACGUGCCCAAAUGCACGAAACACCAUACAUUUUUGUAAUUGAUAGCUUGAUGUAUGGAAUGGUGUGCACAAUACCAGAAAUUGCACAUGUAGUGGGAGUUGUCAAUAGAUUCAUGGGAAAUCGGGGGGAAGCGAUUAAGUACUCCUGAGAUAGUUGAAGAUUACUACUAAAAGGGUCUUGGGCUUUGAGGGCAAAGUAAUGUAGUUAGAAGGAUUUGUCAUCAAGUGACCUUGAUAGAAGAAGAUGUACAACAUGGUAUAUUUUUACUCUUUGAGGUACCAUGGUUUCUUGGGCUUUUAAGUUGCACUGUCUAACACUCAAGCUAAAUAUGUUGCGGUAACGAAGGCCAGCAAAGAGAUGGUAUGGUUUUAGAAUUUCUUUGGUGAAUUGGGGAAGAAGAAAGAGGAUAGCAUAUUGUACAUUAGUCUUAUACACUUGCAAAAAAUUCAGCAUUUCAUUCAAAAUCGAAGCUCAUAUUGAGUUGAUGUAUCACUUUAUGGGUUGAUCUCUUGGAAAGGAAGAUCUUACGGCUUAUGAAGAUUCUAGGAAGUGAGAAUCCUAUGGAUAUGCCGACUAAGGUUGUAAAGUUGGAGAAGUUGACACUGUGUAUGACUUUAACUGGUUUUGUAACUGAAGUUGAAGGUCAGAUGCUGCUUGUAGUAGGAAGACGUUGAACAUGGAGAACCAAUGAGAGGAGUAUGUCUUCAGGUGGGAGAUUGUUGGGUUAUGGUGCCUAAGAAACUGAAGGCUUGGUCCAGUUAGUUUGUUUAGUUAGAUAAAAAUUAAGAUUAAUCUUGUCUAUUCUAUAUAGGAUUAGAAUUAAUAUGGUAGCUCCCUAUAAAUAAUCUAUAUUCAUAUCAUUGUAAUCUGUAUCACAACAAUAGUAGUCGAAAUCCUAACUUGGUUUGUAAAAAAAGAAAUUCUAGCGUGGUAGCGCCCUAGACAUACUCUUCUCGUGAAGAGGAACUAGGUUCUUAAUUUUUCAGUUUAUGAUUGCGUUUCAUUUUUUACAGGAACGACCAGAUCCAGCUCAGAAACUUCCUCAAGAUGGCGACGUUGAAGAAGCUCUGUCUCGCUAACGCCUAACAAUGGCUUCUCUAGACUGAUUCAGACUGUCCUCACCGCUGGAAAAGGAGAUUAGAUAGAAAUCCAUCUUUUAUUCCUCUUCAUUGUUUUUAUGACAAUUUCUUCUUUUCUUUUAUAAUAGAGAACUAUUUAUCACUUUUGUUGGACAUUUCUUGUUUGUUUCCCUCAAGAACUAAUAAUUUUGGUCAAUGGGUGACCACUGAUGAUGUUGAUUCUAUAAGCUUUAGUAUUUAGUCAAAUUCUUGAGUUUUUUUCAACUAGAAAAAAAAAGAAGAGAGGUUACAGUUUCAAUUAUUAAGUUUGAAGAAUUAAAGAAAAAAAACUAGACUACAGAUAUGAAAAGGUAAUUCUGAUAAUUUUUAUUGAUGAAUUUUUUUUUUGUAAUGAGUAAGAUAAUUUUUUAGGUUUUAUAAAUGGGUUUUUGGUUAAAAAUCUCAUUUAGAUAGAGUUUUUGAUGGGUAAUUAUGAAAUUUGACAUAAAGGGUACAUGAUUAAAAAGGUGGGAAAGGAAGAUGCGAAAAGAAGGUAAGAAGGAAUCAAUUCAUGGCAAAAAAGAAAAAUAAAUAAGAGGGAAGAAAGAAGACAUAUAUUGAUGGGAGGCGGAGGUGGGAUAGGGAGGUGAGAGAAAGAUGUAACAACAAAGAAGGGUUUAGCGAAAGGUGNNNNNNNNNNNNNNNNNNNNNNNNNNNNNNNNNNNNNNNNNNNNNNNNNNNNNNNNNNNNNNNNNNNNNNNNNNNNNNNNNNNNNNNNNNNNNNNNNNNNNNNNNNNNNNNNNNNNNNNNNNNNNNNNNNNNNNNNNNNNNNNNNNNNNNNNNNNNNNNNNNNNNNNNNNNNNNNNNNNNNNNNNNNNNNNNNNNNNNNNNNNNNNNNNNNNNNNNNNNNNNNNNNNNNNNNNNNNNNNNNNNNNNNNNNNNNNNNNNNNNNNNNNNNNNNNNNNNNNNNNNNNNNNNNNNNNNNNNNNNNNNNNNNNNNNNNNNNNNNNNNNNNNNNNNNNNNNNNNNNNNNNNNNNNNNNNNNNNNNNNNNNNNNNNNNNNNNNNNNNNNNNNNNNNNNNNNNNNNNNNNNNNNNNNNNNNNNNNNNNNNNNNNNNNNNNNNNNNNNNNNNNNNNNNNNNNNNNNNNNNNNNNNNNNNNNNNNNNNNNNNNNNNNNNNNNNNNNNNNNNNNNNNNNNNNNNNNNNNNNNNNNNNNNNNNNNNNNNNNNNNNNNNNNNNNNNNNNNNNNNNNNNNNNNNNNNNNNNNNNNNNNNNNNNNNNNNNNNNNNNNNNNNNNNNNNNNNNNNNNNNNNNNNNNNNNNNNNNNNNNNNNNNNNNNNNNNNNNNNNNNNNNNNNNNNNNNNNNNNNNNNNNNNNNNNNNNNNNNNNNNNNNNNNNNNNNNNNNNNNNNNNNNNNNNNNNNNNNNNNNNNNNNNNNNNNNNNNNNNNNNNNNNNNNNNNNNNNNNNNNNNNNNNNNNNNNNNNNNNNNNNNNNNNNNAUGGGUUUGUGGUUAAAAAUCUCAUUUAGAUAGAGUUUUUGAUGGGUAAUUAUGAAAUUUGACAUAAAGGGUACAUGAUUAAAAAGGUGGGAAAGGAAGAUGCGAAAAGAAGGUAAGAAGGAAUCAAUUCAUGGCAAAAAAGAAAAAUAAAUAAGAGGGAAGAAAGAAGACAUAUAUUGAUGGGAGGCGGAGGUGGGAUAGGGAGGUGAGAGAAAGAUGUAACAACAAAGAAGGGUUUAGCGAAAGGUGAUAUAAACAAAAUUAAUUUUGUAAGAAAAUAUUUUUUUUAAUGCCAUGUCAACUAGUUUGUAACUUUUAGUGUCCAUGUCAACAAACAAAAUUUUAUAAAGUUACCAAAAUUCAAAAUUUGUGUUACGAAAAGUAUUUCUAAUAGAUUGUGCCAUUUUCGGUAAAGGCUUAAUAGGUUGUGCAUUUAAGAAAAAAAAUAUUAUUGUGUUUCUACAAUUAACAUCAAUUAUCACCAAACCAUUAAAUACUAAAAACCAAUUAAGAUAUAGUCAUGUUACAAAAAAUGACUCUUGUUAUGAUUUUUUUGUUUAUGCAAUGAUAGGAUGAGAUUAAAAGGUUAAUUUCUUUUUCGACAAAACUUGUAAAAUAUUAUUAAACUCAAUUAGAUAUAAUAUCAUCUACAGUUGGUCAAUCAAAAAAAUUGAGGGUCUAUCCACCGAAACAAUCGUGGAGUUCCAAUGAGUCUGAUUAUACGCCAUAACAUGGGUAAGCUUGUUAACUUAUCUCCGGCCAUGACGCCAAUUACCACAAUCAAACUUUGCCAAAAGGCAACGAAUUAUGGACUAAAAUCCAUGUUCGGUAUGAUGAUCUUCCACAUGAUGCAAAGUCUCAACCAUGAUCAAGCUAUCACUUUCAAGAACCACAUUAGGAUACCUAUGUUGCAAGGCCAAUUGUUAGCAAAAUCUUGCCUCGACCGCCUCAGUUAAAGUAGGCUCAUAGCAACCCUACAAUUUCAACAUAUCCGCCAUUAAGUAAUGCCGAACGCCAUCCCAGAUAACCACCCCAAUACCCAUUCUGGAUCCUGUAAUGAUAGUUGCGUUUAAGGUAGUGAAACUGGUGAGUCAACAUGGGAUCGAAAAGGGACCUAGAAUCGUAAUCGUAAAAUCAAAUCGCAAAAUCAUAAAAUUUCACGGUUCUUCAAUAAUACUAAAUAUUCAGAAAUUCACCUUAGCAUAAAGACGUAAGUUCAUUAUCCAAUCUAAAAUUAAAAAUAAAAUCUCAAAUUCACCUUAAUAGGUUCUUCAGUUGCACUACUUUGAGCUGAUUUUCGAGUCUAGGAGACCGGAGACAAAAUCUGUGAACAAAAUUGUACAAUCUUACAACAAAAAACAAAAUACCUUCGAACAAAGAACCUAAACACCAAAAAUCCAAAACUAAUCUAACAAAAACAGAAUUAGAGAAAGGAAUGGGAUGAUGAGCAAAAUCAUGGAAUGGGAUGAUGAAGAAUCAUGGAAUCAAGGAAACAGAGAUACCUUCGAGCCGUAGGAGUGGCUGGAGCGAUGGGGACGACCAAAGAGGCUAUGACGAGGACCAUUGACUCCUGGUUCUGGUCUUCUAGACUUCUGGGGGACGACCGACGGGGGAGACGACAAGAGAGAAGACUGAGGAUCGAGCAGAGAUCGAACGAGCAAUCGACGACUUGCACAAUUUUUUUCAGAAGAUAAAUGAAUUUAAGGUUCGAUUUUUUGCCCAAAAUUGAACUCGGAUUUCCGUUUCGGUUCGAACCGAAGCAUAAAAACCAGCGGUCAGCACAGAGUAGUGGACUCGUGAAUCGUUGUAAACUCGUUCGAUUCCACGAUUUUCACGAUUUUGCGAGCGAUUUCAUGCCAUUAUAAGCCAUUUUGAUUGCGCGUGAAAUCUGACUCGACGGACCUAACAAAACUCGUAAAAUCGUCGAUUCCACUUCCUUCGUUGUGUAUGUACUGAUAUGGGGUUCCUGGUUUAGUGGUUGAACCGGGGUUGGACCGUUUUUAAACCGGGUCGGCCAUUUUAAAUAUUACAUAAAGUUAAAUCGGACCGAAAAAAUAUUGGAUUGAACGAAAUCAAACUGACAGUACAAAUAGUCAAAUUUUGAGAUUUAACCUUUGAAAAUUGAACAAUUUUAAAAAAUUUAUGUACAUUAUGAUGUUAUUCUUUUUUAAGUUUAUGUAAUAUAAUGAUAUUAUCUAUAGUUGAAGUCUUCCACACAUAUAUAUCUAGAAUGCUAAAGAAACCCUAAUGGAUCUUUCAAUCUUUCUUUAAUUGGGCUCCAACUACUCAAUACCCUCUCUCACACUUUUUUUCUCUAUAGAGAAACUCUCUCCCUUUUUCAUCAGAUUUUUUUCUCCUUGUAAUCUAAUCUUAUUUUUCUAAUAUUUUCAUUCUAUUUCUUCCCUAUUUGUCUCUUUUACUUUUUUCUUUUUGGAAGGUUAUUAGAAAAAGAGGACCACUAAAUAAUUCCGUCGACGUCCAGCAAUAGGGUUUUCCAAUUUUUUCACAGAUGGAUCCAUGUUUCCAAAGUUCUUUUGUUUUUUUUUCUGAUCUGAUAGUUGGUUCUUUAACUAGUUGAAUUAUCUGGUUUUCCGGGGAAAUCGGGUCAAUCCUCAGUUUUGUUCAUUCUCCUCAACCGCUAACUCAGUAUUGAUCAAAUGAUCGGUUCACAGUCGGACCGGCCGGGCUGAUAUGGUUUUGCUAACAUUGAUCUUAGUAGAGCCGACUAGAGGCCAUUCCAACCGAGCCACAAUGGCCUCAUACGAAAAACUCCUAGUUACCCUGAGUUCUUGAUAAUAAAUAAGAAUUGGAGUGCUUGUGCUAUGAUAUCACACUCCAAUUAGUGAAACUCAUUAAGCAUACACACAUUCCUUUCUUUCCAUCAGAAUCACAUAAGCAUUACCCAUCUUUCCAACUCCAAAUUCAAAACUUUGCGGUUGCUAAGUGAGAACCAAUCGCAUCAGUCAUUAGAAUCAUCAAAAUCAACCAGUGAUCAUGUUUAGAGUUACCUCAAAUCCGCCAAGUCCAUUGGCAAUCUCGGAAAUAGUGAAUUUGCAGGCAACCUGCAAAAUGGGCAUAUAUCACCAUGUCGAGGAUUAUGCUUAUACAUAUUAUACCUGUAGGUAAAAUUUACGAUGAAAUUUUCAUAAGAACUGCUCACCUUCGACGGAAUCUACAAUGACCAAGAACAAUUCCAAACAUCCGAGUUGCAAUUUGGAUUAAGACCCACUAAAAGAAAACCGUGUCCAUUAUUACGGAUAAAACCGGCCGUUGUCACUGAUAUUUCCAUGUCCCUGCCUCGUUGUCGCGGGAAAAUCAUCCGCGACAACGGGCGCCUUCAUAAUGAGGGGUGNNNNNNNNNNNNNNNNNNNNNNNNNNNNNNNNNNNNNNNNNNNNNNNNNNNNNNNNNNNNNNNNNNNNNNNNACGGCCGCCUUCAUAAUGAGGGUUGUGGGGACUAAACUAUCCGCGAAAAAUAGGGUUGGCGCGAACCCGUUAUGACCGGUUUGGUUCAAAUAGUUAGGUUGAAAGGCAUUUUAACAAGUUUAUCCGCAAAAACGGCAAGAGAUAUCCGCGACAAUGGCUAACAACAUUUGUUUUGCCGUCAUAACGGUUCCCCUAACGACGUUGAGUUUAUCCACGGCCAAGGUUGACAUUGUUAGUUUCUCCAUCCUACCCGUAAUGGUUGUUGUGCCAAAUACUAGGCCAUAAUAUCUGCGACAACAGCUCAAGUACUGCCUAAAAUUUUGUUAUUUUUGCUUGUUUCGUCCACUGUGGGCGCCUAAAAUAAAAGUUUAUAUAUGCACUAUUCUACACAUAACACAAUAUAUACCAAUAUCAUUAGCAUAACGAUAACACAUAUGAUCAUCCAAGAGUUAAUACUAUAACAUAAUCCAUAGAUCUACUCCAACAUAAUUCCUUGAUUUUUUACCUAACUAAAGUCAUUAGUUCACUAGACUACAUCACUAUCAACCUAGAUAUAACUACACUAGAGACUCGUCAUCCUCAUCCUCGUCAUUAUGACCAAGAUCCUUAUUAGCUCAAGUAUACAAAAGAAGAUAUAUAAAAUUGAAAUUAGGUUAAAACACAUAAAAUUAAGUAACAUGAACUUUAUAACAUAUAAAGAUUACUAAUAAUUUACCCGCCACAUCGUAGUCGUAGUUCUGUUGGAUGUGGUUAUAUUAUAUUAACCGCUACAAUCGUCGUUACGGAUCAUUAUCCGUGUCCGACGAUGACCUAACCGUGACACCCGUUAUCGCGGAUAUUAUCCCCCAUAACUAAUCUACGUCAGACAUCAAAUUUUGUUGUAGUGGCCAAGCUAUUCUUUAAAGCUAGUCAGCCAGUUUUAAUACCCCUAUUUUUUCGAAUAAACAGCUUUACUACUUGAAAUCCAAAUAAGCAUUCCGAUUCUUGAACAUCGCAAUGAAUAAUUUGCACGAUAGAAGUUGAUAUAGUUGACCAAAAACAGCUUUCAAUAAGAGCAGUAUUCUACUGAUAAGUCGUUCGAUUAACCAACUCACGAACUGUAGCAUCAACAUCAAACCUCAUCGGCGUAGAGGUCACAAAAUUACCGGGUACUAACGGAAGCCAUCCGUCUCCCCAAAUUCUAACGGACAUACAAUUUCCCACCCACCACCCAAGGCCACUCCAUACAAAACAUUGAGCACCAAAAAGGCUAUGCCAUAUAAAGCUAAACCCAACUCAGCUUUAAAGACAUAAUAGAAUUUUUAAAAUACUUAGCUUUCAUAAUUCUUACAAUAAGGGAAGAUGCUCUUGAGUGUAAGUUCCAAAGAUGUUUAGCAAGUAAAGUAAUGUUAAAGCCUAAAAAAUCACAUAAUCCCAUCCUAGCUUCGGAUUUCAAACUCAAUAGAUAUUCUUGACAAAAUGAGGGAUGAGCACUGGGUCGGGUCACCCAUCAAAACCCACCCGCCUAUAAUCACUCUCUACCACUACUACCCUUUUCCCCAUCACCAUAAAACUUUGCAUGCUUGUUUGUGUGUUUUUGUAGUUUUUUUGUGUGUUUUAUGUCGCUUUUCAUCGUUUGAGUAGAGAGAGAGAGGGAGAGAGAGAGGGAGAGAGAGAGAGGGAGAGAGAGUAUUUCAAGGGUUGCAUGUCAUACCAAUGAUUAAGAAUGCAUGAUAGAAGGUCUCGAUUCAAAUUAGGGUUCGGUCGGUGUCUGAUCGAAGGACGAAUGAUGCUUGCAUUAUUUUAUUUUUACUGAAAAAUUGGGCUUCUGGAGCAGCCUUUAGAUCAAUCUCAAGGUGUGUGGCUUUGCAUAGUGUGUGUCGUUUCCUUAAGUUUCUCUCGAUAGAAAAUCGAGUUUAUGGCGUGUGAUCCCACAUGCCAUGUGACUGAUUUUUGACAAAACGAACCGACCAAAGAACAACCAAAAACCCAACCGGCUCAAACCGUAAUGAACCAGAUUGAUUUUCAAACCGAUUUUCAACCAAAUCAAACUGAGUUUGACCAGACGCAUUGACCCUUCGUUGACCGGCCGUUGCCCCCGUUGACCGGUCACCAUGGAAGAAAAAACAUGGCAGUUUAGUAGUAUUUUGGGCAUAACAUUUUGCUCGGGAGUCUGAUUGACACAAGGUCAGUGACGUUGGAAACUUGUUCAGUUGCCUACAACUUUGAUGUCAUGAUGUGGCCUAAAUCCAUGCAGUUUGUGCUCAUUUUUCUUGGUUUGGAUUGAUGGAAUUUGAGAAAGUUUGAAUUGUGGUCUUGUUUGGUUUGAUGAUUUGGUGCGAUCGUGAUCAAUUUCUUGAUAGUAUUAUAGUGAUAUGUUCAUUGCAAAUGCUAACGUUUGGGAUGGUUGUCCAAAAUGGAUAAUUCUAGCUUUGCAAUGUGAAGAUUGCUGGAUGUUGAGACGUGAUCACUUUGUCACUCUUGUAUCGAUGGCAUGUUGUUGAUUUUCAUGAGAACUUGGAAUGGCAUCAUGAUGCUUCAAAGUGUGGUUGAACGUAGGUUGUUACUAGGCCUGAGAGUCGGUUAAUUUGGUUACUAACCAUCUGCUUAAUGUUCGGGGAAAAUGAUUUGGAGAUUAAAGUUGGUUAAUCGGUUUAACUGACCGACCAUAUGUAAUGGUUAAAAAGCCGACCAAUAACUGAUAAAUCGGUUAAAUAACCAAUUAUUAACCAACAGAUUAGUCGGUUAAUCCUAUGAACUGACUUUGAUUGAUUGACCGACUAUACCGACUUAACCUAACAAGAUCUGAAUCUCCAUGCUCAUCUCUGCCAUCGAGUGAGCCACGUUCUGCUCAUGAUAACCGUUCGUCCAAGCAUUCAUACUCUACUAAGAAAGCUUGCCAUGGCCGCCACUCUGAACACCGGUCAAAGAACUGAAUACUUGUUCCAAGAUCCGAACUUCCAGAACCGUCUCCAAUCCAUCUUCCCAAUUGUAGUUUGGACAAAGUUUCCUCAUCUGAAUUUUUACUCAAUCACACAACUACAACCUACACGACAACCAUAAUCAAUAGAGUGGAGGGGGAUAGGAUGAAACAGAGGACUGGUUGAAAUUAUAUGGGCCUAUGUUGCAUCCUCAAUAGCUCGUCGUCGCCAAGCCUCACUGAGCCGUCCCCGAGAGAGGAAGAGACGUAGAGUCUAGAGAUCGUGCUUUACUAGUGCUCAACACUCAUGGAGCCGUCACUGAGAGAGGAACAUAAUCCCUAAUGAAUCGUGAAAUCGAGAAUGAACGGGGAUAAGUGAAUAUGUUUGUGUGUGUGUGAGUUUGACCUAAAAAUGGGGGGAUUGGGAAUACGACGUAGACAUUUGGGUUCAGACUUGGGGUUCUUUUGACCGAUUAAUGUUGGUUAACACAAGUUAACUGACGGGUUUUAACCGAUUCACCGUUUAACUGAAGUCAGUUUUUCUCUUUGACCGUCCCCCAACCAACCUGUAGCUCGAUUAAACCUUCCUCUAACUUAUUCGGUCGGUUAAUCAAUUUUAAACGAUUAACCGAAACUGAAUUCCUACCCUUAGUUGUUACUAGGUGCUUUUGUUGCUCCCAAUUGAUGAUUUGUGAUUAUUUCCAUGCUCAUUUAAUUUGCUUCCAUUGCUCAUAUUUUGUCCUACCAUUACCCUUGAUGACUCAUUGGUUACUCACUGUUUUGGUAAAUGGUUCAAAGAAGCAUGAGGCAUAUUACUAGUCCAUUUGUUCCUGUAAUGAUAUAUCUUUGACCUCACCUUUUGGUAUAACUUGAAUGAUGCAUACGUUGUCACUUCAUGCUUUGCAUACACUCUUUAUGCUCGUUCUUGUUCAUUGGACUUGGUCAACAUUUGUGAGGAUUUCUUUGUGGCAAUUGAUGAUAAAUGAGUUAAGGUGGUCCCAUAGCUUUUGCUUACCCUUGUCUUACUAAUUUAUGAAUUAUAGGAUGCUCUUGUUUAGGAUUGCUAGUUAGUCUUGCUUGAGAAUAACUAGUUAUCUUCUUCAUUGGUUUUGCCUUUCUUUUACAUCUUGCCUAUGCCAUGUCUACUUAUGAGCUAUUUAUUGCCUAUCGUUGCCUAAUUCGAUUGGAUGCUUAUUGAGGUGGUUCCUUAGUGGCCGUAGGAUUAUGGGUUGACACCUCUACAUGCUUGAUGUGUAUGAUUAUUCUCCAUUUCGAAAUUUUCAAUGAUACUUUAAAGUCAAAUUUGAAUGCUCUUUACAAAUGUGUCAAUUUUGGCACAGUUUUCAAGGAUUCAUCAUUUAGUGUUUAUAAUUCAUUUUCGUUUUAAAUUUUCGUUUCCCACAUUUACUUUUCAUGUUUUGUUGCUUUUAUUGUUUUAAAUUUUAUUAUUUUUAUUUUAAUAGGCUUACUUUCCUUGUAUAUCCCCAAUUGUAACUUGGUAUCCGUAUUCUCAACUAAAUCAACAAAUGACACCAAAUAACUUAAAAUUGAGAACUAUAAGAGCUCAAAAGAAGGAGAUUUAGCAGAGUCUCUUAUAGGUUUCAAAAAAGCGAGGAAGGAUCUUCAAGUGGAGAGGACCCUUUCUCCUCCCUAACUCCAAUGGCGAACAAAACUCUAGCAUUAGACCACCUAAAGUCAGACGAUAAGCCAUGCAUUCAUCUCGUGGACUUUAUCUUCUAUUGCGACACCAUCAAGCUACACGGUGUUUCUGUUGAGGUUCACAUCGUGUUCCCCUUGAGUUUCAGCAACCAUCCACUCCAAGCACCUUAAAUCAUCCGUCUUAGUUUCUGCUUGUCCCCAAACACCGUACAUCGCAUGUACUUCGUGAUUUUUCCAUUCUUUGAGGCAUUUAGCUCCUCCUUGUACAUCAUACAGUUAUGAAUAAUGCCUCGACGUUGUUGUGUGCCUGAAAUUGAUAAAAAACACAACGCAACAACAUCAAAUGGACCCCAAACGGGUAUGAGACACUAAAUCGAGAUAGAAGUUACAAAUGCACAAAACAUCAUGUCGUGAAUGUUUCGAUCCGCGACACCGAUGGCUUGAAAUAUUUCAGAGUCGCCACCAAUCUGUUGAAGCGGAUUGGACGCUGUCGACAUAACCCAGGUCCUUUUGGACGUGAGUUAGAACAGGUCUGCGGAACAGAGAUCCUGGAUUCGAGAGGCGGUUACGUGCAGGGAAGGAUUAGCACCCCCAUAGCGCCCGUCAAACCGGUACUACUAAAUUUGAUAAGUUAUGUUUUAUUUUCUUAGUUUAGUGGUUUAAUUAUGCUUUAGUUUGGACGCAUAAGGUUAUGUAAAUUUUUUAGAGAAUAUUUUUAUUCAAUUGUAAGUCUUUAUGAGUUCCCACUCUUGUGGAAAUUUUUUUUUAUGUUGAUAAAUAUUUUGAGUUGAACAUUCUUAAUUUAAUUGUUUGGAUUUACGAAUUCCCAUUCUUGUGGAAAUUUUGUUUUACGCUGGUGAAUAUUUUUAAGUUGGUUAUUUUUAAUUUAUAUGUUUGGACUCAAGUCUUACGACUGCCUACGUACCUAAUUCUUUGGGAUCAAAGAUCAUGUAGUUCGUUAUGGAAAAGUUGAUUUGAGGAUUUUUUGUAAUUUUUACUAUUAUAAAAACCACGUUAUCAUGCUCAUUUUUUAUUUGAAAGACAUUUAUUUGGUUAUUUCAAAGUUGGAACUUUAUUUGCCCACUUAUGAUUAAAUGAUAAUUCUACAAAAUUCGAAACUCUUGUCACGGAUACGAAAUUCAUAUAACAUUGCUAUAAUAUCUUUAAAGGAUUAUUAUUAAGGAAAUUUCACAUUUUUUGCCAAUCGAAAAAUUAAUUGGUUUAUAUCAGUUAACUUAAUUUGACAUAAUUAAAAAUGCAUUACAAGACGGUUAACGAACUUACAUUUAAAUAAAUAUGUCACAAGUAUUUUUGGUGAUUUGACAAUUCUAUUGUGGUUAUGUUAAUGUUAAUUAAAAUGAUACGUUGAUUUGAAUAAUUGUAAAGUUUUGAGUUUUUAAGUUUACAACUUUAAGGUAUAAAUAUCAAAUAGGAUUAAAGAAGGUAUGACGUUUAUUCUGUUAUUCUUCCACACUUAUUUCACUUUUAUUCCACUCUUAAUAUGGCCUUAAUGAUAUAUGAAUAUAAUUGAAUCGACUAAAGGCUUGGCCUUUCUAAAUUAAUUGUGCCCAAGCUCGAGCUCGGCCCAACCGAACGAUGAGCCGAACCGGCGGGUAAGAGGAGGGCAGCCCGCGUGCCAAACUGGUCGAACCGGUUAUCCACGGUUCGAUCAGAAAACUCAAAAAGAUGAAAUUGCCCCUAGCGUUCCGUGCGCUGAAGAAGGGUGGCAGGGGAAAUUUUGUAACUUCACCUUAAACCUAAUCGGCCUUAUAAAAGGGCCUCUUAAAUCGAGAAAUGACUCAUUUGCAACUUCCCACUCUCUCUUUAUCAUCCCUCUUUCUAAACCGCCGCCCUUCUCCCCCCCCCCCCCCCCCCCCCCCCCACCCACCUUUAUCACGGAGUGUGCUGUUUUUUUCUAGUUCCUUUCUCUUCUUCUCAGCCGCCCUUUUUUGCCUCCUCUUACCUCUCAGGACCCCUCUUUCUACCUCCGUUUUUUCGAUUUUUCCAGAUUUGGACUUGCAUGUCAUCGGAGGAUACUCCGGUGAGUCCUCCGGCAAAAUGCAAGUCUCGAUCUGUAGAUCUAAUGUUUUAUUUUGGUAUUAAACAAUUUUGGUUAUUUGAGGGUGGUACCGACGGGGGUGGCGGGGAGGUAGAGAAAUGGAAAAAAGAGAAAGUUAGGUAAGUAAGAUUUCUUCCCUAUUCCUUUUGAUUAAUGUCUGGUUAAUUGCUAACGAAGCUAACUACCGGUUUCUUUGAUGACUUUUUUUAUGUCUUUGAAAAUGGGCAUAGUCGACAUGUUUUGGAAAAUGAGAGGAAAAGGAGAAGAUUGCUUUUAGGAGGUAAGACAGCUAAUUUUGAACCCAUUCUAAUUUUUCUAGGUAGAAGUAACAAUUCUAUUUGUUGAUAAGUUGCAUAAGAAACUAGGUUUGUUUUGUUACUGAAGUUGUAGUAGUAGUCUAGGUGUUUUAAAAAGUUUUGUUUGAAAAACUUUAUUUUUUUUACUAUUGUUUAAAUUUUUUUAGCAACAUUGUUUAUUCCAAAAAUCCGUAUUUUAACUCGAUUUUACUAUGAGUUUCAUAGUUCUUUAGGUCUUUGGUGCGAAAAUGAUGAAAGAUGGCUAUAGGUUUCGUUGUUAAUACUUUCCAAUAACUUUUAGUUCAUUUUUGAAGCUUAUUUGAUUGAUUUGUUGGUUGUUUAUUAAAAUGAAUCAUUUAUUUGAUUAGUUGCAACGAAUCAUUGGGUUCAAUAGUAGUUUAGAAGGUUGCUAAGUGAUAUAGCAUAACAAUGUAUAUGUAUGAAUGAUGUGUGAAUGCUUCAGAAUAGGGAUGUUUUGAAUGAUUACCUUCAUUCAAAAUUUCUCUUUUAUCGUAUUUCAGGUGGCGGCGCCUAUCGUGAGUGACGUCAAACCGAUUUGGCGGCUUCUAUGUGUAUGGCGACAAAAGAUGUUGUAAAACUUAUUUUUUUACAGUUUUGUAAUUAUUUCCCGGGACUUUGAACGAGUGAUGUUGGUGUAUUAUUUUUGGGGGUUUUGGGAAGAACUGGGGGACGAAUUUUGAAAACUGUAAGCUCCUCUUUUUGCUGAUUUUUGUCAGUCCAUUUAAAUGCAGAAAGGGCUACAGUCACUUCUUUUAACCAACCACAUCUUGCAAAGUUUUCUGACAAAAAUAAAAGGUGGCAGCUCCCCAAAUAAUAACCGUAACGGGCCCGAUAUUGGGCUUGAAAUAAGGCCUGGAAUCGGGCCCGAAAUCAAAUUGGGUCUAACACAUAAAUAGUUUCGAGAUAAGGGAUUUUGCCGAAUUUCGAGAUAGCGGACUUGAGGUCCACUCAUUUCGGCCGUUUCCGUUUAAAAAGAUCUAAAACAAAAUCGGCUUAGAACAGUCUGUAACAUAAUAAUUACAUCUCGAAAAUAUGCUAUUUGGCUACCAAGUUCUCCCCUAACGUGCACUUUGAUUAAUUUAACUGAAUAAACUUCGCAACAAGUAAAAUCUCGACGCUAAAUCCUUCCUAGAGAUGCUACGACUAUUUAGUGAAAUGACACUGGCGUGCAUUCUUCACUCGAACGAAAUUUGGUUACUACAGUUGUCCCUCUUUGUAUUACUUUCGCUUGGAAGUGGAAAGUGGUACAAAGACAGAAACCAAAUUUCGGACGAGCGCCUGAACUUCUCACGUCAAGUCCACUAGGGUCCAAGGAUCUGCCACAACAUCGGGUAGAAAACAAAAUUUGCAACCUGACCACACAAACAACAUGCAAUGCAUUUCCCUAUGGGUGUUAGGGUGAAUGUACUAGGGACUCAGCUUGACUUAUCUCCCGUUCCAUGGGUUGACUAUACUAGGGACUCAACUCGACUUAUCUCCUGUUCCAAGGUGCAAUCCGCUUUCCCCAGGAUGCUAAGGGUUGAUGUACUAGGGAUUCGACUAGACUUAUUUCCCGUUCCAACGUGCGAUCCGUUUGCCUUAGGACGCUAAGGGUUGAUGUACUAGGGAUUCAGCUUGCUUAGUUCCCGUUCCAUGACUACAAAUGUGUUGAUGAUGAAUGGUUUCGAAAGAGUUUGAGUAAGGCUCCCCCUUUUUGAAAAAAACAUGCAUCUGAUGGCAAUGCUUGAUUGAUAUUUUUCAUCAUUUUCACUCCGACGAGAUUCACUGUUUUGUUUUCUUGUCGCUUAGUUCGCACUACGUGCUAGCGCAAUGGUGUCAACCCUGCUGAUAGCUGGGUAACCUUUAAUGUAUGUGCCCAUUUUUCUUUGUUUUUCCCCCGACGUCUUCAUAUUAUUCCCAUGCCUUGGGAUUUUAAGGAUCUCUUUCCUACUUUGUCUCUACUUCUAGAUAUAAUGGUAAGAUAACGACGACCUUUGUAAAUUUCUUUCUUCGGUUAGGAAUAAGUGGAGAAAUCCUGCCAUCCGGGCUUCUUUUCUUUAACCCUUCCCUUUUACUAAUUUUUUCAUUCUUUCAACGGUUUUCAUUAUUAUUACUAUUAUUUUUCUCCCUUUUGUCUUCACUUUACCGCUAAUUUCAUUUGAAAAGACCUCCUAAUGAUUAAUUAGAGCGAAGGUGUUUGCACGAACGCAUUUGCCUCAAGUUCCUGUGGGGUGUUGUACCUCAUCCAUUUUGUUUGGUGAUGCGUGAACAAUGGUUAGGAGAGUAGUAUUUGAGAAUUCAUGAAGUAUCCAAAACUUAAAGUUGACUUAAAUUAUCACUUUAUUGAUGGAAAACCGAUCACGUAGAUCUCCGUCAGGAACUUUAAGCAUAGUACUUGUUUACUGAAUAAGAGUUAAAUAGGUAAGGGAGCUUGUCUCCGUCCAUGUUUGCCAGUAUUAAUGCCCCCCUGAGAAAGCCCUUUCCCCUACAUAGGGCCCUUCAUAGUUCGGCUUCCACAUUCCUCUUGGGUCCCCUUGUCAAAUGGAAAUCUUCUUCGUUACCAACUCUCCUUCGCGAAAUUCCCGUGUUUCACUUUUUUUUAAAAGAUCUGAUAAAUCUGCACUGAUACAGGCGUUAGUGGUGGAUAGCUGCCAACCUUUUCUCAUCAAUUUAAUUUAACUGGUCGUAUGCCGCUUUUACCUACUCAACUUGUUCUAACUUCGCCUCCAUGAUAACCCUUAGUGAAGGCAUUUCUACGUCCAUGGGAAGCACUGCCUCCAUCCCAUAGACCAAUUGGUAAGACGUCGAUCCCGUUUAGGUUCUUACUGAUGUUCAGUAACCGUGCUGGGUAAAUGGUAGAAUUACGUGCCAAUCGCGGUCGGUAACGACCAUUUUCUGUAUGCUUUUCUUGAGGUUUAUUGUUUGUCAGCUCGACCGCUCCGUUCAUCUUUGGUCGGUAUGGUACCGAGUUGUGGUGCUUAAUCUUAAACUUGUUGCAAAGCUCAUGCAUCAUCUUGUUGUUGAGAUUUUUCGCAUUGUCGAUUAUUAUUCUUUCCAGGAGCCCAUACUAGCAAAUGAUUUCCUUUUGUAUGAACUUUUUGACAACGCUCUUGGUAGUGUUUGCAUAUGACACAACCUCGACCCAUUUCGUGAAAUAGUCGAUGGCUACUAGGAUGAAACGGUGCCCAUUAGAUGCUUUUGGUUCAAUCAUGCCUAUGACCUCAUGAUGCAAAAGGCCAAGGCGAUGCCAUAAUGUGCAACGAUGAUGGAGACACGUAUUUCUCACCGGCAUAAACCUGGCACUUAUGGCAUUUUCUCACGUGUUUUACAUAGUCAGAGUUCAUCUUCGUCCAAUAGUAACCCAUCCUUAAUAUCUUCUUAGCUAGCGCAUGACCACCGACAUGUGUGCCGCAGACUCCCUCAUGGACUUCUUUUAUUGUUCUCUGAGAUUCAGGGGCAGCUACACAUCUUUGCAGCACAAAAUCAUGGCUUAGUCUGUAGAGGGUAGUCCUAUGAACAUAGUAACCCAUCUCCAAUCUCCGUAGAGUCCUUUUAUCAUUUUCAGAUGCCCUAGCUGCGUACUCCCUUUUAUGUAGGUAGGUCUUUAUGUGAUGGUGCCAGGGAUUCCUCAUGCUCUUUUUGGACUCUACCUAGGUAGGCAGGUGCAUUUUUCUUUUUGAUUUUGCUUCAUGGGUUAACCUCGGUCUCGUCCAGUUUGUACAUCGAGGACAAUGUGGCGAGAGCAUCCGCUAUUUGAUUGUCGACUCGCGAGAUGUGCUCAAACUGUAUCGACUCAAAUUUUGCGGCCAUUUCCCCUAUGUAUUUAUGGAAUGGGACAAGCUUAUGACCCCUAGUUUCCCAUUUUCCUUCAACUUGUAUAUUACUAGCGCUGAAUUACCAUAUGCCUUCAAAUUCUUAAUAACCAUUUCGAGGGCUCCUCGGAUCCUGAAAGUGCACGAUUGGCACUCUGUUAUGUUGUUGGUGCAAUCGAAGCAAAUUUUGGCAGUAAUAGGGCACACCCUCCCUUCAGAAGAGACAGAAACGACGCCGACGCCCUGUCCCAAUGAGUUUGAGGCCCCGUCAAACUUCAUCACCAAUGUUUUUUGGACGAAGCCUUCCACUAAUUUCUCAGUGUUCAGUAUAGUUUCAUCCGGAAAUUCCAUUAACAUCGGAUUCGUGUCCGAGAUUGCAUGCUCCGCUAGAUGUUCUGCCACUACACUCCCUUCAAUGGCCUUCCUUCGGAUAUAAACGAUGACGUAUUCUGCCAGCAGCACUUGCCAUUAGCCUAUCCAUCUGGAGAGGGCCAACUUUUCGUGGACAUCCUUGAUAGGGUUCAUUUUUUAUAUUAGGAGCUUCGUGUGAUAUAACAUGUACUAUCUCAGCCUUAUGGCUACCCAUACAAGUGCUCCGCAAGUUUUCUCGAGCGAUGUAUAUCGAGAUUCGUAGUCAUGAACUUCUUGCUGGUGUAAUAUAUUGGCGCGCUCUUUCCUUCCCGAUUCAACAUGUUGGGCCAACAUCGCGCUUACCAAAUUUUCAAAUACCGUGAAGUACAAUAUUAGUGACCUUCUAGAAGUUGGUGGGGCCAGAACCGGAGGGUUUAAUAAACACCCUUUGACUUUCCGAAAGGCAUGAUGACAACCUUCAUCCCACUCGACAUUCCGGUUCUUCUUUAAAAGCUUGAGAAUGGGUUCACACGUUAAGCUCAAAUGCGAUAUGAACCGACUAAUGUAGUUCAAGCGUCCUAAGAAUCCUAGCACCUCUUUAUGCAUUUAGGGAGGAGGUAUGUCAACCAUUGCCUUCACUUUGUCAGGGUCCACUUCAAUCCCCUUUUGGCUAACCACGAAACCGAGCAGCUUCUCCGAGGUGACUCCGAACGUACACUUUUCUGGGUUCAGCCAGAGCUGGUACUUCCCGAGUCGCUCGAGCAAUUUUCAUAGCACAGUUACGUAGUCGUCUUCCUUUUAUAACUUUGCUAUAAUGCCAUCCAGAUAUACCUAUAUUUCUUUGUGUAUCAUGUCAUGAAACAGUGUGACCAUGGCCCGCUGGUAAGUUGCCCUAGCGUUCUUCAGCCCAAAAGACAUAACUUUAUAGCAAAAGGUUCCCCAUAAAGUGAUGAUGGUCUUUUUUUCUCGAUCAUCCGAAACAUCCUGAUAUGGUUGUAUCUUGAGAAACUGUCCAUGAAAGAGAACAUAUUAGUUGACGGUAUUAUCAACGAGGACAUUUAUGCGAGGCAAAUGGAAGUUGUCCUUUGGGCUUGCCCUAUUUAAAUCUCUGUAGUCUACGCACAUUCUCAUUUUUCCAUUCUUCUUAGGCAUAGGGACCAUAUUAGAGAUCCAAUCGGUGUAUUACGCCACCUGUAAGAACCCGAUUUCGUAUUGUUUCUGCACUUCUUCCUUAAGUUUGAGUAUCCAUUCCGGUUUCAUCCGCCAUAACUUUUGCUUUACUGGCUUGCACUCCUCCUUUAUUGGCAAGUGAUGUGUUACUAUUGUUCAUCGAGGCCCAACAUAUCUUGAUAAGACCUUGCGAAAACGUCCUAGAAGUUCUGGAGUAGUUUGACGAGCCUGUUCUUUUCUGCUUGGUCUAAACUGUCCCCUACCUUAACCUGUCGCCGAUUGUCCUCUGUUCCCAAAUUCACGACCUCUACUGACUCGUAGAAAGGUUUCAAGGAUCGCUCUUCUUAUCCUGCCAUCCAAUCUGUUUCUAGGUUAGAACCAUCACUGGCUUCCUCGGUUUCCAUCUCAUAAACUGGGUGGUGAAAGUCAACUUUAGUGUUUCGUACCUCUUCAUUGUUUUCAAACACAUCUGUAACCCUGUUACGUGACGGGAAAUAGAAAAGGGAAAAAGAAGAAAAGCGGAAGUGAAUAAUAUAGACGAUGCACGGAUUGAGACUUAUGAAAACAUGCUUUAUCAAACAUGUGAAAAUGUGAUACAUGCAUUCAGGAUCACUUAAAAAACACUAGGAAGCCCUUGCUUAUUUUAUUUAGUAGUCAUAUUUUAGAGUUAUUACAUCUGCAAUGGCGAAAGUAACUCCAAAGCCUCCCAAUUGCUUAGCUCUUCCUUUGGACGGAGCUGCCGCACCCAUUUUAUUCCGGUCAUAAUUCCCGUACCCAGCAUGCUGAUGAAGAGAUCUGCAAAAUCCGACUGUAACUCUUUGGUGGUCGGAUCAGUGUAGUUUUUCCUCACAUUUAUCUUUCCAGCAUUCUUGCUUGUGAUGUGAGGUAUGAAAGUCAGGCCUUCAUCAUCUUCUGUCCCACUUAACCUGGACACCCUCCUCCUUAUCCGUUCCUUUUGGAUCCUCCUUAUAUCAUCAUCGUUUAGAAUGUAUCGCAAUCCCGCACGGUUCUUAUUUUCUUUGACCUGGAUGGGUUCUUUCAGCACCUCCUGCCAUUAGUAUCAUAGAUUCCAUACUCGAUAUUAAUCUAACCGAUGUCUCGAGACUAAUUAGAGUUAAUUACCAAGUGCAUUAAUAUAGUACAAUGAUUAAUCUGAAAAUUAAUUCCAAAGCGGAUCGACAUUCCGCCCCUCUCUCAAGUGUAGCGGAGACGACGAUAGACCUUGGCGUUUGGGGAUUUAGUCUCACUUUCGUAUCUAAACCAAAUCCCAACAAUAAUCUUACAACUGGAAUUCGACAAUUACAAAAUAAAGCAGUAGCUAUAUGCAAGAGAAAGACAAUAACGAAAUUAAUGAUAGUUCCGCUUAACACAAUCGAAAUUAUGUCGUAUUAACACAUAAUCAAGGUUUCAUCAAUUUCGGACAGACAGCUUAGUUACACAUGGUGAUCAAAUUAAAAACACAGAAAUCAAGAUAAUACAUGAACCUGGAGCUCCAUGCUUCAUGAACGCUCUGCCGUCGUAAAAUUCAGCAAUGUAGGCGGUCCGAACGGAAGUUCCGAAAUGGAUUUCUUCACCUUCGGAGCUCGAAAUUGCAUGCGGUUUGAAGUGGCAUGUUCCUGGGUUGAAGAAGGACGUCUUGGGGCAGAGUAGGAAGGCUUGCGGGUCUGAUAUGGUGUGUGUAUGGUGUGAUUUCGAAGUGGACAUGACUUGCCCUUAUAUAGGCUCGAAAAAUGGCGUAUUAAGGCCUCCGACAUGGGCAUACCAACUCCAUCAUCUGUAUGCAAGCUGUAGCUGUCCCUGGACUGAUGAUGGACGGAUCUACAUGUGCUGGACGUCCUCAACCAUGCCCGGUUAUCCUUCCGGCGAUCGGUUGAGCGGUGGAUUGUAAAACGGGUCGUAACUUCUUCGUUGCAAAUCUGAUUUAGCUCCGGUUUGUAUCGUUGGAUUUUUAAUUCAUCCCUUUAUAAUACGUGACCUGAAAUUUUAUUAAACACACUAGAAGAAAUAUAAAAUUGGACCAUAAAGGUCCAAGGGUUGAAUUUACGGAAUUAAGUGCAAUAUAACUGAUAUCCGUCGAAACUUUUGUUUGCAAUUGAUAUUAUGACUUGAAGUGUAGAAAGUUUAGUGCCAAAUAUUACGGUAUGUUAUGAUGUGAUCAAAAUACCCCACACUUAAACUUUUCUUGUCGUCAAGAAAACUGUAACUUAACCCACACGAAAUACCAAAGAUAGUUACCAUCAUUUAUACAAGGUUUAGGAAAUGUAAUUUUACAAUUUACGAUGCAACAGAGGUUAAAUGCUUGGCCACAUCGGUGAGAUAAAUCUCUAGUUAGAAAUUCACGAGACAGUGCACACCAGAUUAAUCAAGAUUCAAAUGCUAAAAAUAAAAGGGUUAAAUGCAUUUGUUGCAACUAUAAGAUUCAUUUUGCGCUUCCUUACGAAAUUAUGAAAUUUUAUUUCUUUUUUAAAGUUUCAAAAUUUUGAAUAACCCGUAGCCGAGCAAGACUAGUGAGUACUAUACUCAACCUUUUAACACAUUUCAUUCUUCCCACACACACCUCAAUUAAGUCCCGUAUGGGAGGCAUCUAAACUGGCUGCCUAAUUGGCAGGGCAGCUAAUGCAGAGGUGCUAGUCCUCUACCACACGCGUUAAGUUAAUCAUUGAAUUAUUGAGACAAAUUAAAGAAGCAUUUUGAUUUAAACAUUUUUUUAUGGCGAAAGUUGAAUCCAGUUUUGAAUUUGCAGAUUUAAACCAAACAUUUUAAGCAUUUGCAUCAAUUAAUCCGAGAUGUACUAAAUACAAAAAUGAAAGUCUAGUAAAAACAAGUGGUCAUUCCGCAACAACUACCAUGUCACCCAUAAUCGUUACAUUCCCAUUGUCUAUUUUAAUGUGAUCCCUAAAUUGGUAGAUGUGUAACCGCUAGUACUGUUUGUGAGGAGAUUAAAGUAAAGUACGGAUGAAAUGUUGAAAAAAAUUUAAAACACCUCUCGUUACACCAUCACCCAACACUUGAAUUAUACAUUGCCCUCAAUGGACUAUGAAUCUGGGAUAAGAGGGAAACAAGUAUACCGAGAUAUCGAGAAUGACAAUGCCAAAGUAAACUGCUCUAUAAUACCUGUCUGUCGGAUGAUAACGGUAACACAGUGAUAACAAAACAAAACAAAACUCAAAACACAUUUGGCAAAUGCCACAACUAAAAAUCAUACUAAAUCACACCACACAAUGAUGCAGAUCCAAGAUAAAUAUAUUCGAAAAUGUUAAUAUUUUGAAAUACAUCAAAAAGAAGAAGAGAAAAAUACACAUCCUAGAUCGAAAAAUCAAUCAUAACUAUCGGAUCAUAUUCAAAAUUUUGGGCAGAGUCAAGAUGAUUUUAAGGGUCUUGGAUGAUUUUAUUGAAUGAAAUAAGAAACUUGGGUUGUCUCCCGAGGACCACUUUUUUAUCGUCUUUAAGUUAGAAGUUUCCAAGAAAAUUAUUUAAUUAGCCAGGUGAAACACCUCAUGGAUGGUGAGAGAGUCGCUCGCAAGGUAGAGUUUCAACCGAUGACCAAUAACUUUAAACAUACCAUGAUCAGGGCUCGAGAUUUCAACAAUUUCGUAAGGAAGAACUUCAGUCACUGUGAAUGGGCCCAACCAAUGGGAUUUAAUUUUCAUGGAAAGAGGCGAAUCCUAGAAUUAUAUAGGACUAUGUCUCCCGGACGAAAGUGUUUUCCAGGUUUUAACCUUGCGUCAUGAAGACGCUUUGUCUGUUGCUUAUACAAAUUGCCAUUUUAAUAGGCAUGAAGAUGGAAUUCCUCCAGUUCAUGUAUGUGGAACUGAUGGCGAGGUCCAGCGACACUCAUAACAAGGUUUAGAGAUUUAAAGGCCCAUAAUGCCUUAUUCUCUAACUCAACAAGCAGAUGUCAUGCCUUUUCGUAGAAGAGACGGUAAGGGGUAGUGCCGAUAAGAGUUUUAAAAGUGAUAUGCCCAAAGUGCAUCGUCCAACUUUUUUUACCAAUCCUUGCGAGUCCAGGUGACAGUUUUCUCCAAAAUCUACUUAAGUUCUCGGUUCGUUACUUUCGCUUGACCACUAUUAUGUAGGUAGUAACCAGUGGACAGACGAUGAGUGAAACCAAAGCGGCGACACACAUGAUCAAACUGUCCCUGACAGCGGGUUCCUCGAUCGCUGAUGAUAGUGCGAGGUGCUCCAAACCGAGUGAAAAGUAGUUGCACAACUGGCUUAUAAGCUAGCCUCUUCCAUAAGAACUUUGUGGGUAAAAAAAGAGGGAGAGAUGCUUCGAAUAUCAUAGAUUUUCCAAGAAAUGGCCUUAAUAUGCUCUUUUAAAAGGGUGAUGAGACGUCCCUUUUAUUCCGGAAUGAGGGAGGCAAUGAUACUGACUAGAAGCUUCGAGUAAUCCAUCAGAAAAGCAUACUUGAGGUGCUCCGGUAGUGCUUUCAUCUUCAAUAUUGGAGGCUCCUCAUAUGAGGGUUUGACGGGCUCAAUCCUUGAGAGCUUGACAGGAGGUUCAGGAGCAGAGUCUUAGCAAUCUGCUCAAGUUGUUGUACCUCAUCAGAAGCAUCCCAAACACCAAAAUAAAAGGCACAACUCGAGAGGGUCUUAGCAAAUGCCCUCAGAUAAGAAGAAUACUGAUCCAACCUCAAUGGAGUCAGCAGGAUAGUUUCAGUCAUCCUGGACAUGGGCAUAUUUCAUCCUGUCAGCAUGGCGAAAUGUGGCCUUUCCUUGACCUACUUGAAGAGUAAGCUCGCCUUCAUGGACAUCAAUGAUGGUGCGAGCCGUAUUUAAGAAUGGGUGGCCAAGAAUGAGGGAGGCAUCUGAUUCAUUGGUGUCAAUGAUAACAAAGUCCACCGAAAAGACAUAAGGUCCCAUCUGCAUAAGUACAUCUCUCAGGAUUCCACGACAAAUUCGAGUGGACUUGUUAGCCAACAGGAUGGUCAAUUGAGUCGGUGUUGGUUCUCCUAAAUCGAGCUGUUGGGAUAUCUUGCAUGGCAUUAGAUUGAUACUUACCCCAGAGUCAGCCAAAGUCUUAUCCAUGCAGGUGUUGGUGAUAUAGUAACAUAAGGUGAAAGAAUCGUGAUCCUUAUGUUUCUUAGGUAGCUGGUUCAGAAUGGCAGCAUAACAUUCAACAUCAAGAGUAACAGACUGAAUCUCAUCCAAUUUUCUCUUAUUGGUCAGAAUCUCCUUUAGAAAUUUCGAGUACUAGGGCAUUUUGGUAAUUUCCUCAAUAAACAGGAUAAUGCCAUUUGCCGUAAUCAUAAGUUCAAUGAACCUUUUGUAACUGGCACCCAUCAUAUCACUCCUUAGACGAGAAGGAUAAGGAGGUUUUGGUUUGUAGGGUGGUAACUCUGGCUUAGGGGGAGAUGGUUACAGUAGCCUUUGGAUAGGUGGCCGAGGUGGCUUUCUCAUCCUUCUUCUCGACGCUAAAGUCAAUGAUCAGCGUUGGAGGAAUGAUGACAGGUGUGGACUAUGGAAUGGGAGGAUCCUUACUGGUGGUUCCACUCUUGAGGGUGACACCUUCACAAGAUUCCGAAGUGUCAAAUCCUUCAUUAGUAACAAAGAUUGCUUUUGAUUCUUCUUGCAUAGAAUUGUUUUCUGUGUUGCUAGGGAGAGAGCCUUGUGGUCUCUCACUAAGAAUUUUGGAAAGAUUUUUCAAUUUCAAUUCAAUGUUAUGGAAAGUGGUUUGUUGCCCACGGAUAAUCUUUUCCAACCUCUCGAGUCUGGAAACUUCAUCAGACUUGGAUGUAGAAGAGGCUUGAAUAGGCGGUUAUUCAGGCUUUUGCCCAAAACCAGGAGGUCAUUGGUUAUUAGUAUAGUUCCUCGAUUGAUAGCCUUGAUUAAGACGAGAGGCAGAGUUUCCUUGGUUGAAGGUUGAUCUGUAAUAGGCAUGUUCAUCUAAUUUGUGAAUGUUUUGCUGUUGUGACGGUCCUGAGCAUUGGGUAUCAUGGUUGGUUUGGUAAGAGUUUUGGAAAGACUUGGAUUUAACUUGAUUUCAAAAGUUUGAGUUUUAAUUUUGACCAAAAAUUUAUCAAUCUUGUGGGUAACCACCACCCAAAAAGUCAACUUCUUCUGUCUGGUUAAAAACGGUAUCCCCAGAGUAACAGUCAGUAGAAUCACAUCCUUGAUCCCCUCAAGCAACAUAGACAAAGAUUAUUGCCGUCGAAUUCUAUAGGGUCCUGACGUUCAGCUUGCUCACUUUUUGAGAAAGCGCAUGCAGCUGAGAGAGAACGGGAGAAAUAACCGUCCCAAGGGUUUCAUGACGAAUCACAAAGGAUGAAGUGGUAGGCGGGGUGCUAUGAUGCUUCCCAUGUUGCCUAGUCAAAGUAUGACUACACAUAUCACAUCCAGCAGCCAGGUUGAUCAUUUGUGUGCUUUCCCGAUUGAGCCUUCAAUUGAAAAUAUCGGCUUGGUUUCGGUCAUCGAAGCUGUGAUGAGCGCAAGAGCGGAGGAGGGCUUGGAAUCGAUUGCAUGCUUCAUAUAAUUGUUCAUUAUCUCAUUGCAUGCAAUGGAUAAUUCUCUCUUUUAUCUCACCGCGCUUCUAUGGAGGAAAAAAUACCUUGAGAAAGGCUUUAGCGGGACCGUCCCACAUGGUAAAACUCCCUACUGGUUGAGAAACAAGCCAGAUUUUUGCAGCUCCCUUGAGAGAGAAAGGGAAACGCUAGAGGCGAAUGGCAUCAUGGUGCACCUGUUGGAGUUGUAAGGUGUCGCAUAUUUUGAGUAAGUAUUUGAUAUGUUGGGUGGAGUUAUCGUCCUCUUUCCCCAAGAAUUGGACUGUUUGUUGGACCAUGUAGAUCAUAGCGGGUCGCAAUUAAAAAUUGUUGUCUUCGACGUGGGGUCGGGCGAUGGAGGACCCCAGGUUCUAGAGACUUGGUUUGGCAUAAUCGCCAAGUGUCUUCUCUUCAGCCAUGGUGAAGGAUCCUUUGGGGGAAAUGCUUACGUGAUCUUCGCCAGAGUACUCAUCCUUGGAAUCCGUUCUACCGAGAGCCGGAGGUGCAAUUGUAAUUCCUUCAAGGACAUGUUUAGAAAAUUACCAAGUAAUCCGUCGAGUCAUUCAUUUGACCGAAUAGGAGUUUGGAAGAUGGGAGGAGAGAGGGAAGCAGAAUGAAUGAAUUCGUUGAGUUUUAGGUUUUGGAGGUUUGAAGAAGAAGUUUCGAGAGAGUGUUAAAGAAGGUGAGUGGGAAGAUUAUGGAGUACUUUACUUAGAAACGCCGCCUUGUUGCCAAAACCAAAACUUUCAUUUCAGUUCCAAGGAAAGUAGGGGAGUCACUCAGACUACUUAAAUCCCUUUAAACUUUAGGUAGCAUCUCUUUACGAAAGCCAAAAUAAUCCUCUCAUCUUUUUUAAUUCUCCUUUCUUAUGAUUUUAAAUUUUUUCUAUUUUUCUAUUUUUAGUGUUUAAAUUCAUAUAAAUGAUUGGUAGCAGAUUUUUUUAUUUUUUAAUUAUUUAUUUGGAUUUUUUUGUGGAAUAGGAAAGAUUCGGAGAUGAGUGGAAGAUAUGGAAAAGAUUGAGAGUUCAGUUGAGCAAGAUAAAAUAUUGAAUGGCUGAAAUGUAGAGAGAGAAAAGUUGAGUGACCAAGAGGGGAGCAUGGGAAAUAGUAUCUAGAAAAUAAAUAUAAAAUAAUUUAAGAAAAAGUAUUAUUAUUAAAAGUGAAAAUUUAGUAACUGUUUCGUACAAAAGGAACGAGGUCCACGACAACGACGCCAAAAUUUGAUCACCCCCGUAGGCAAGUUUAAAGAUAAACUCGGAAAAACCGAGGUCGUAUUCACGCGGAUUCAUUCCGAGUAUUACUCCUGAAAGUGCGAAGAUGAAAGUCUAAUCGUUGGAAUAGCGGGUAUGAAAGCACACAAAUCGCAAUCGAGUAUAAUGGAUGAGUGAAACCUGUCCGGAAAUGAAUUCACCAAGAAUCAGAGCAAGGAUGGUCAUUGUAACCCUUCUUCCUUGUUGCAGUUUCAUCAUGAUAGGCUACACCUUUUGUUGUUAGAUUAGGGAUGAUGUGGAUGCAAGGAGAAUCCCCUCAUAAUGAGGGAUUGGACAAGAUUUGGAUGAUUUGUGGGCUUGCUUUGGAUGAAUGUAGGGAGAUUGAUGCAUGUACACACUUGAUUAAACUAGGAGUGUAUCAUUGAAUGAGAAAUUGGUAGUAUACGAGGACCUUCCAUACCCAAUUCAUCCAUCUUUUUUUGUAAAUUGCAUUGACGCAUUUAAUCAAACAUUUGGCGUGCAUUUUGGUUCUUUCUUAGUGGACCAAACUAGGUUUAGAUAGAGUCAUUGGGUGUUGAUGUGACCACAUUAGCAUCCUUCAUAGGUGUUUGGGGUGCCUUAUUUCCUUGUGCAUCAUCAUAUUAUUCCGAUUGAACAUCAUUGAAUGCACUUUUGGCUUAUAAGUUGUUUGUGACCACAACAAGUUAUAAGGUCCAUUGGUACUGUUAGAUAUGACCAUGCAUAUAGACUUUAACGAAUAGGAAUGCAUGGAAGCUUGUAUAGUUUGGUACCUAACAUUACACUUUGGUCAUAAAAUACCCAUCACAUAAUCAUAAAAUAUUCAUAACAUUUGGUUUAUGUUUUUCUCGCAACUCUUUUUGUUGGAUUUAAUAAUCACCACCAGGAUGCCGUUUUUAGAGUCUGUUUAAUGUAUGAUGAUAGAAUUAAAUCAUUUGAUUGGUUAUUCCGUACAUUUUUACAGUGCCUGUGAGGGAAGGCACCCAAACCAUUUUCUCAAAUCAGGACCCGACCAUGGAUGCGGCAUUGAAGAGUGCCAUGCCAAAUACAUACCACGCGACGGCGGUGGGGUAUGAUAGGAAUCCUCUGUCGACACACCCUAACUGUGAUGCAUGUCAUCGGGAGGUUUGAAAGCGAGAAGUUCAACACACUUCCCGCAUAUACAUGUUGAGGAGAUGGACUAGAGGAGCCAAAAUUCGGUUUCAUGACAUAGUUAUUACGCGGCUCCUCUCUCAGGAUGGUGAGGAUGGUGAAAGACUUGCUGAAGUUUGUUUCUAUGAUUAGGGUUGUUUAUAGGGUCGAUCAGUUUCAUAAUAUGUUGGAUGUUGUGGUAGAUGGGUUGGCCAUUCAGGUAUGCAGUAAUCAAAGUAUACUUAUUUGUUAUAUUCACCGUACAUGACUUGUAUAUGGUCAUAAUAUACCUAUUAUGAUAGUGGUAUUUCUGUAGGUUGAACAAGCAUUGACCUUGUAUGAUGGACAACAGCCAAGGGAAACUGUGGUGGCAGAUAGAGAUACCACCAGCGUUGCAGUCGCUACGUGUUGUAGUAGUGUGAUCAGGAGAGAGAUUGCAACGAAGUACACCCCGCAGAGCAGACCAAGUAAGAACAACCAGCGUGGGAAACAUAUCACAGAUACGGUCGCAUGAGGCAGUGUAACAAGUUUAGGAAGAUUCGUGCAAAGGAAGUUCAAUCCGAACAAGCAGUCGCAAUGGACGUGGAAAUGGAGGACUUACUCAAUAAUGAUGUUAUACAUCAGUGCAUCGCAUUUUUGCAGGCACAGGAGAGCACCACUGCUACUGGCAACCCCCCUCGAUUGAGAGUGGCCCUUGAUAGGGUAAUCGUUAAUUAUUUAAUGGUCAUUAUGGAGAAAAGCCUACCUGUAACGCUAGCAGAACUGUAGCAUUAUAUAUGUACACUAGUCACGUAGUUAUGUAAGAACAUUGCCAUAUUAUGGGUAGAUCAGUGACAUAUUUUUGGUAAAACAGUACCAUAUUUUGGUAGCACAGUCUUGUAGUGUUGGAAGAAUAGUGGCAUAUUUUGGGAUGUAGAAGAAGACACAUUGUUCGGAAUUAUAAUAUUAUAUGUGGUGCUAGUAUUGACAUAUUCUGCUACAAGGAUUACACCAUGUGGUAGGUCCACUUCAAGGAAUACAACAAGGAUACUACUGUUACCCUAAACAAUAGGCAUAACAUCAAUGUACAAUAGCCAUAACAACGUUACACAUACUUUCUUAGGUUCAAACUGCCAACCAUUGUUCUUCAAAUGGAAAAUGUGACCUUCAUCGCCAUGGCACUCAAAUGGAAGGCCGUCUGGAUGCUCUGAUAUGAUAGUGCGAAUGACGUUCCCUGCUUCCUUGAAAUUGACUUUAGCCUUCCAAAAGGUAUCCUUCCACAUUUCAAUCCGACUGACCAAGUCAACGUGGCUGCUCCUUUUGUCUCCAGAGUGAAUGAUACCUUGGUCCACGAGGCUCCCCUAUCAAUGAUUUCCAUGCAUAAUACAAACACCCACUACUGUACUAGUAUCAACCAGAACUGAAAGUAUACAUAUCAUUUUUCAUAUUCAUGCAACCUUACUUUCCAAUCGUGACAUUCUAGUAAGUCUCUUGUAAAGCUCCCCAUACACAUAAACUAUGCUCUUAAAUAGGGCAUAAUUCAGAAACCAUUUAUAACGAAACCGUAAGAGUAACAUGGUACUAGCAUACCAUACACAUAUCCAUAACAUAACAUAGAUAUCUAACUAGGAGGGUUGGUCGAAGUUCCAGCUUCUAUGAGGAGGUCCACUACCCCUUCAAUUAAAAUAUGGGGAUGAAGUCGACUCCAUUGUGAGAGGACCAGGCGACAGAAGUACUUGAGCAUGUCCUUAAUCAUAACGUUCUCCUCAUCCCACCACUUCGUUUGGUCCGUUGUAAAACAACCAAUGUGUUGCCCCAUAAAACGAAGUGCCAUACAGGCCACACCUGUGAAUGUCAGGCUUUUGUGGCGCAGACACCACCCUCAACUUGAAGUCCUUGAUAUCCACGUGAGUGUUAAGAAGAACAAAUGACCUCGCAUAUUGCAUUAUCUGUGUUCUUGUCGGCUUGUUGUAUGGCUUGGUCUCAAAGUCCUUCUUAUAGAUAAGGCUAUUGAGAAUAACUCUUUCCUUUUUCUCCAUGUCCAACCCAAAGACAUAGAAGUGCUUGAAACUAUUUCCCCUUAUGUUGGGAAGAAGACCGAACACACAAAUAUAAUAUAGUAAUCACAUCAGAUUGUAUAUCAACUGCAUACCACAAAUACAAUACAUACAUAUUUCACGGAACUCAAGCCCUGGAGGUACUUCUUAUUUAAGAAAUCCUUGCAAGUUGGUGGGAAUUUAGAUUGAGUUAGUGAAAACUCAAUCUCAUUUUCAACUUUUGUCCUAGCAGGAGUUUGAAGCCAUAACACAGUCUAACUACACACAUAAAAAAUCACACUUACUAACAAGGAAUAGUCAGAUUAUACUCAUAACACAGUUAAAUUGGCAACAUAACAGAGGCAAAUUGUAUUCAUAACACACACAUAACAUAGAAAGACAGUUAAGUAACUUUGACGAUUCAAACAAUACUUGUAGUAAUUGAAAUAAGCCCAUAUAGUCUUUUUAUUGUGUUGUUGUUAGCCAGUAAAUUGUCAUUAUUGAACUGGUUGCAGAAUGCAUCAAUCAGUUUUGAUGUGCACCUGGUUUGAAUAAUAGACGGUCUCCAACUCAAGCUUCAUGACUUCCAUGCCUUUUUUUCCGGAAAGUCGCAUAUAAUGCAGCUGUUGAUAGGAAACAAUACUGCACUAGUUGUAGCCAUAACACAAAUGUAACACAAACGUAACAAAACGUAACACAAAUGUAACACAAAAAUAAAGGAUAUAUAACAUAGUGAGAAAUGAUAUGUACUCCCUUUCAACACUAGAUAUGGCAUAAGUUACUAUCUUGCUCUCAACUAGUGUUAAUUCAUGUUGAAGUCUAUUUGUGAGAACGAUCUUCAUGCUAGUCUUUUGUCGGUAAUAUGCAAUUGGAAUUGGAUUCUCUGAAUCACCUACCAAGUCCACUACAACUUGUCUCCACCCGGAGUUGCCUUUGUCGAUCCACCCACUAACUCCAAGAUGGCUUCUUUUGCGGUCAUUCUGUUGGUCCACUUCAACUUCCUUCUAUUUUCCUUGGCAACCUGCUCCUCUUCCUUUUCCUUUUCGGCUUCAUUAUCUUCAACCUUCUCUUCUUUCUUUUCUUCAUCCCUAUCAUCUGACUUCUCAUCUUACUUUUCGUCUGCAUUUGCAUCCUCCUCACAGUCACUACCAUCACAAUUUUCACCCUUGUUGUCAUCAUCAUCAUCAUCAUCAUAACCAUCGUCAUCUUCCUCCUCAUCUUCACCAUUGUCUUUAUCAUCAUCAUCACCAUCGUUAUUGUCCAUGAAAUCACCGUAGCUCUCGUCUUCAAACUCAUUACGAAACUCCACGUCAACAACUCCCUUGCCCUUCCCUAGUAAUAGGUUCUGGACAGACGCACUCCUAUCCAGUCACAACUAUAAUUAGCAAGGCAGUUGUCCUGCAUUGCACCUCGAUCGUCGCAACCUCUGCUAACAAUGUUUGCUGCAAUCAUGGUAUGAAGAUGCCUUCAGAUUAACCCAUAUACGAGAUAUAUAACACUUAGGUAAUUCAAAUAUACCACCAUCAGAACAGUACAAUAGUCGUGAAAAGCAGUUCACUGGCACAUAACAGAACAACAACAUAUCUUACGUUUAACGUCCAUAGAACAUUGUAAUAACACCCAUGGAUCAGUUACCUGUUAUGAAGAUGCAAGUUGUACUAUCGCCGUCUACUUGUCCAUUCUAGGGUUCGUUAAUCAUGUUCCCCUAUGCUGAUGCACAUUCACCCCAAAGGUAAGGAAAUCUAGCUCGAGACUUUGUCGAAAAUGUCUUGAGCCUAAGUGGGAGUAAUAGGUUUCAAGCCAGCUACAAGAGACGCCCUCUCACUCAACAUGAAUGACCAGCUGCCGUUAGGAGUACUUAUCCUUCUCAUCAUUUUGAUGACAACAUCGCAUCUUAGUAGGAACAAGUGGGAUGCUCUUUCGGAUCGAUACCAGAAAGAUCAACCAUGUCCAGAAAAUGCAGCUGACACAAACAACCGAGGAUAUCAAGAUUAGACAAUCAACCAACAGUAGUCUGCAUCAACAUAAGAACACUGUACAACUAUUAUAACACAACGAUAGCAUAAAUAUAAUAGCAAUAUAACUUAACAGUAACACUUACCACCAUGAAGUUCAUGUCCCUGCUGGGAUAGGACGCCUUCUGAUUCUUAUAGUAGUCCUCCAGACCUCUUAGCAGAUGAUUUGAGACGUCAGCCGCCCAAUUAGGAUUAGCAAUCUCAAAGUUGUGAAGGUGAAGAUACUUGGAAAACUUCAUUAUAACCCACCGGGUAUUUGUUGGAACAAGCAACGACUCAAGGGCAAGCAACAUGUACAACUUUGUAUAAGCCGUGGGAUCUUUACAAUUCUUCAUUGCAGCUUGGAGUUGAACUAUGUUGAUGUGAUUGUACUUAUUGCUCUUUGUACCGGUCACCCUUUCAAACUGCUUCAAUACCCUUAGCCCGAAAUGUUGGACAUCCACGUCGGCUAGACUUGUAUACAAGGGCAGACCAUAUACAUGGUGCACGACCUCUGACGUUACGCCCAACAGCUGACCAUCCGGGAACUUGAAAAGACCAAGUUCAGGAACAAAGGAUUGGAGGAGGAAUUGAGGAACCUCCUUAUUAAUCAUCUCUAGUUGUAGAUACAACAACCCAUAGAAGCCAGCGUCAUUGAGACAUAGACAGAUGUUAGUACGAUGCGGGUGGUCGUUUUCAAGUAGAUCAUUGGCAGCCACCAACUGUCCAAUUUUGCAACAGAAUGGCUUGCCAUUUCCCUUCUUUUUCUUCAAGCCAAUCUCCCCUAGGGGGCCCUUCUUUACAAUUGGUUGCUUUGUGGCAACUGCCUUUUCGUUAGCACAACCCUUCUUUGUCGGAUUAGUUUUGGCCACCAGACAAUCAAAUAACAUACUCAUAUUCAUAAUGUACCAAUGUCAUUAUGAUUCUCAUAACAACAAGACCAAACAAAGAUCGACAAUCAUACACAGGUACGUGAUCAUAUCAUAGUAAUAUCAUAUACGUAACAUAGGCAUUACGUAAUACUAAGAAAUACAAAUAGAUACACAAUCAUAUCAUAGACAUAAGAUAGGAAUAACAUAGGCAUCUAAUAUGCAUAACAACCAUAAACAGAAAGAUAAAUUGUAUUACACACAUAACAUAGGAACUUCAUACUAGUAAGUAGCAUAAACAAAAUAACAAUCAUAUCAUAGACAUAACGUAUGCACUUCAAAAUUGUAACAAACAUAGGCGGUCCUCAAAUCUCCCUUUUCUUGGGGGUUAACAGACACUAAUGGUGUUUUGUAGUUAGAGUCAGACUCCAAGCUCUAAAAGGAGGACGAUUCUUUCCGUUUCUGUUUCCACUUUUUGUUGCAUGAACCUUUCUGUACCCCACGUUGAGAUUACUGUAGCUCUGUGAGCCAUUUUAAAGAUUGAUGAGGGGAGAUGAGAACUCCUUUGUUAGUCUUCUCUAUAGGAAACUACGAGAAAGGAGGAAAACUUAUUAGAGCCUUAUAAAAUACCCUAAAAACCAAUCAUAUAUAUACGAAGCCUUAAGGAAGGUACAACAUAAAAAAAAAGUUAUCAGGUUUGGUGGUUCUAACCGUCAAUGUAUAGGUGGAUGAGGAUGAAUGUAACUGCUUUGGUGGAUGAGGACGAAGGUAACUACAACUUCACCAAGAGAGAGGCCUACAAACCUGAAGCCACCUUCAAAACUUCCACCCAGUACUUUGGAUCUACUGGCGGAUGAAUUUGAUUCCUCCAUGCAACGGCUUCACCGUCGCCGGUGAGAGGAGAGAGAUUAACAGGAAGAGGGAGACACUGAUGUUGAAGAAAGAGAUGGAGAGAAUGAAGAAAGAGAUGGAAAAGAGGGAGAGAAUGAAGAAAGUGAUGUGAAAGAGGGGUGACAGAAUAGUGAUAUGACCGGUCUGACACAAGGAUUGAAAAAAAUCGCAAAACAUUUUCAAUUUCCCAUUCUCGAUAAUGAAAUUCGAAUCUACGGAUGAAAAAAAGAAUUGAAUAUUAAAUAUAAAUAAAUAAAUUCUCGUUCCCAACCCCUAGAAGAAAGAUAGCCGUCUGAUCGAAGUCAACGAGGAGACGGAUUCCCAGUCGUCAGAUCAAGCUGUCUAGCCGUACAACUUGACUUUCCAUGCCAAUCAUUAACAUUUUUGCCCAACCGAGGCACCCUGUUUGUCUCCAGUUUGAUGAGUUCUUGCCGGUGAACCAAUCAACAAUGAAGAAGCUCCGAUGGAGGGCCCAUAAACUCACUAACAACUAGGUAAGGAUCAUGAAUGUUUUCAUAAGCUUAAUUUAAUAUUUUCUUAAGCUUAACCAGAUCUAUACAACCCUCCAUUGCCAGAUUCAAGUUUCGCCAGAGCCGCCGCCGUCUCUAUUUCUCAAUUUAAUCUCCUUUAUUUUGAAACCAGGUGAGGAGAGUUUCCCCUAAGUUAAUUUGGGGCUUCACAAUGGUUUGAAGUGGGAUUGAUCUCACCUGAGUUGACCUCCAGAACCCGAAUUUUGGAAUAUGGGUUUCGGCUCAUCGGGGAAGACGACUGGAAAACAUGUCAUGACGGUGCCUGAAGUUCCAGUGAUUUCAAUUCAGUCAUUGGACUUCUUGAGGCCAGAUCCGGUCACCUAAAUUUCCUAGAUGGCAAGCGUAAAACAAUACUUUAAAAUGUUAACAAAUUGCUUAAUAACGAGACCUAUAUAUCUGUUGUGACUCUAAACUUUAGGAUUAUGACAUUUGACCCAAAUACAUAAAAGAUAUUUAAGUGUUGAGGGUUAACCCUAAUUGAUCUUGAUAUGCUAUUCAAGGACAUUAAGGAUAAAUACAGGAUUUCUGAACUCGUAAAAGGAUUAAGGAAAAUGGAUUCUUUCGUUAUAAGGGAUCAUUAGUAAAAAGUAAUCAUGAUUUUGGAAAAGCCUAGUUUUUCCUUAUCACUUUAACAAUGGAGAUAAACUACAGAUACUUUGAGUCAUCACUCAGAUCUUUUUAUUUCAAAUCAACUCUGAGCCUAAUACCUAAAUUCCCGUAAUCAGGUUCUCAGAGUCGAAACCACUUUCAAGCGUGGAUCUCGACCUUUUUUUUGGGACCCUCACCACUUCACUUUUCUAGGCAAGUGGUUUAAGGGGGUAAAUUCUUACGUUGCUGUGUUUAGGAAUGAACCUAGAAUUAAAUGAUUACUUGAUCUAUUUGUUACUAUGUGUUUUGUAGUGAGUUAUGAUUGGUCCUAUACUCAUGUUGAUGUUAUGUAUCAUGCUUGCGUGUUACUUCCUGAUUAGUUAUGUUACUAGUAAAUCCUCAUCGUUGCUAAAUUCAUGUUGAUGCCAUGUGUCAUGUUUCCAUGUUUUUUCCUUGAUAUGUUAUGUUUACUUUUAAAUUCUUAUCCUUACCAUAUUCAUGUUGUUACCAUGUGAUAUGUCUUGGUUAUUAUCAUGUUAUGUUAUAAAUCACCUAAACAACAAGUAAGCCUAUGAUAGGCAAUAUAAUAACACGUAUCUCGCUAACUAGACCGCCACCCUCUUAUGUUACCUUCAUGUUUCACGUUUGGGCGGAUGGUAGGAAUCAUGUUUAUGGUUCGAUGAAUACGUACUCCCGGACUCUCACGUUUACAUUUUGGUGGUUUGCUAGUUAAUCAGGAGGCCCCUAGAUGUCAUGUCAAGUAAGCAAGCCAAGUAAAUAAUGUCAAGUAAACCAUGUUAAGUAAAUCAUGAUAAGUGAAUCAUGUCAAGUCUAAUCAUAUGUAAUCCCUAAUAACAUUAUUGUUUGGAUUGCUAACCUAAUGUGAAUGUGUACUCAAGAACUAAAAGCUUAUGUAAAACACUAAUAGUUAAGCACGCAAGACUGACCCCAAACCACUCACCAGGUCAUACUAGAGAUACCGGCAUAGAGACUACCUAAAAGAACUUUAGUGGAUGUUGAGGAUGUCACAUGAGUUAGAGUGAGUGAUUUUGGAGGAUGGACUACCAUGUUUACUCUCUUUCGAGUUUCUAGUACUUGAGACUUGGGUUUUGUUUUUUAUUUUUUCAUACUUGAUUUCAGAUGUUCGGGUUGCUCACUUGUAAGAGCCGAUUUACUUUGGAUUUAUGUGUAGUUUUCAAAAAAGUCUAUACCUUUCUCUUUUGACUAUCUUGAGUCUUGUGAUCUCUCCAAGGAAAUUUGGUAUUUAAAUAAAUGAAAAGGAUUUGUGAAAAUUUGGGUCGUGUCACAUACCACUUCCCCUUGCAACUCCUUUGAUGCCAAUAAACCUAAAAUACUCACAAAAUCACCCAAAAACCAACAUUAAAUGUCCCCAAACGGGCCAAGUGGAUAAAAACACAUAUUUGAGUUAAAGUUCCUAAGAACUACCCAGAAUAGCAUGAUAUGCACGAAAUUUGGCUUAAAAUACGAUAGAUGAAUGCAAUAAAUCAAACACUACAACUAACCCCACACUUAAGCUUUGCUUGUCCUCAAGCAAAAAACUGAUAAAAGCUAUGAUAAACAUCCACAAUUGAAUGACGUUACUAGCAAGGCAAAGCAAACCCAUAUUCCACAAAGUACCCCUAUAUUUCAACACAUGCAAGUAAACCCUUAAAAUCAACCAAUCUAGGAAGUAAGGGUCUCAUCAAAAGUUGUCCAACUUUUCAUACAUCAUCCGCCAUGGUAUACCACCCAUCUAGACUUUCUCUCAAAUGGCACAAUUUAAAAAUGAAGUCAAGAUCAUCUCACUCAAAGUGUUUAGGGAUAGUGUUUGUGAGCUCAUUCCUCAACUCUGACGCAAACUUCAACACUCGCACAUCAACCUACUUUUUAAUCAUUACAUCAUAGAACUUCAAACACUAUUCUAGAGGUCUUUUAUUAAGGAUUGUAAUCUGAAAAAAAGAAUAAGAGGAGAAAUGAAUUUGGUGGUAGGUGUACAUAUUGGCCGACGAUUCAGUCCACUCUAAACAUGGAGCUAAAGCUACUUAAAACAAACAACCACGAUGCAAGGAUUCAAUUUCCAUCAAGAGCUUAAUACUAGCUCCUCUAUCCCUUAAAUAAGCUACUACUCCUUCGAGCUUUUCCAUCAAGAGCUUUAUACUAGCUCCCCUAUCUCUGAAAUAAGCUACUACUACUUCAAGCUUUUCCAUCAACACUUGGCCUCAUGUGCAACAAAAUCCAGAAACUGGGUGAGGAACACGAUUUAGACAACAAAUGUAGCAUCCUCUGAUAAUGCAGAUAAUAUUUCCUUAAGACCUCAUGUUAAGGCAUUAGAAAAGAAGCUAAAUGAUUUUACUUUGAAAGUUUCUAACCCCCUGCUACUUAUGUUUAUACUUGUGCUUGGGGUGAUGUUCCUUACAGCCAGGUAGAAUGUGAUAUUUUCCUCACCAACAAAUUCAUGAUGAUGGAAGAAGUGGAUUUUGUGCGACAGGGCUACCCCUUCAAUCAGCAGGGAUAUCAGGAAUUCAGAGCAAAGAACGCCGAAGGCCGACGAUUCAACUUCACAUACCCUGGAAGGCGUUGUGACUUCUACAAGUGUAGGAUGGAGGAUUACAAUGUCAAAGACAACAUCACUCCCCAAAGACAAAACUCACACCAUUAAGGAAACUCGAGCAACAACUACCAAGGUCCACCAGGAUUUCCAAUCAAGCCAACUAAGCAGCAACAACAACAUAAUUCGGACCCUGCUGGAGGAAUAAAUGAAGACAUCAUCCAGAUGAUGAAAACCAUGCAUGUCUUAAUUAUAGCUCAAAAGCCUGCCAACACAAACUUUAUCCUCACUCCAGAGGAAAUCAAGAAGCAUGUUCGAUUCUAUAUCCAUUGGUAGUCAAGAAGAAGGGGCUUUGAAAGGCAUUUUAGAGAUUUAUAGAGAUCAUCAAGAAGAAGGAGGUUACAUUAACCUUUCUGGAAGCUUUCAUAAAGAUUCUAGCAUAUGCAAAGUUCUUGGUGAUGCUAAACAAGAAGAUAAAUCUUAGUGAUGCCACAGAGGUCUCACUCUAUGAAGAAGGAGCAAUAAUCCAAGUUGGAUCGACAAAGCAAAAAGACCUAGGGAGCUUUACUUUACCAUGCAUGAUUAAGAAUGUUAAAGUCUAGGGAGCUUUAUUUUACCAUGCAUGAUUAAGAAUGUUAAAGUUAGUUAGAGUCUUGCUGAGCUAGGUGCUAGUAUAAAUGUUAUGCCCCAAAGCUUAUAUGAGAAACUAGAUAUAUGUGAACUUAGACAAACUAAGAUAGUUCUUCAACUUGCUGAUAGGUCUUUGGUAAAACCCAGGGUAGUCGUAGAUGAUAUUUCAAUUUGUGUAGGACCUUUUGAAUUUUCUGCUAAUUUUGUUGUUCUAGAUACCCAUGAGAAUGACAGUCAUUGGCUUAGUCCUACGAAGGUUGUACCUAAGAAGGUGGGUUUCAGGACCAUUUUUGUUUGAUGAUAACUAUAUACAUGCAUUUAAUUUUCUAAAAAUGAAGUUGACCACUGCGUCGAGAUUAGUCUCCCCGGAUUGGGAGGCACCUUUGUAACUAAUUUGUGAUGCUAGUGAUUUUGCAGUGGGUGUAGUGCUAGGACAGUGGAGAGAGAAGAGAUUACAUCCCAUAUACAUCAUGAGCAAGAUGCUUAAUGAUGCACGGAAAAACUACACAACUACUAAGAAUGAGCUCUUGUCGAUUGUCUUUGCAUUCAAGAUGUUCAGGUCCUAUUUAAUGUUUAUCCCAGACUAUGGUUUUCACUGACCAUUCUGCUCUUAACUAUCUUCUAGCUAAACAAGAUGCGAAGCCGAUAUUUAUUCGUUGGGUGUUGCUCCUUCAAGAAUUUGACAACACUAUUAAGGACAAUGCGGGGUUAGAGAACAUUGCAGCUGCCCACCUAUCGCGCGUUGAACGGCCUCCUCCUGUUCAAUUAGCUCAAGGAGAGAUAAAUUAGCUCUUCCCGGAUGAUCCACUACUCCUCUUGGUAGAAGCAGAGAAAGUCUUGGAUCAUCAUCCUCAACAAACGCCCAUGGUUUUCGUACAUAGCCAACUUCCUCGCUUUCGCGGCAUUUCUAGAAGAUUAAAAAAUCAUCAGCAGCAAAGGAAACAGGUCUCCGAAGCCAAGCACUACAUCUGGGAUGAUCCUUACCUCUACCAUUCGGGCUCAGACGGAGUAAUCAAACGAUGUGUUAUGUUGCAUGAAUCACUCCACAUCAUGCUCCCUUGCCACACUAGACCUGUUGGGGGACAUCAUAGUGGAAAUCGCACAGCUCACAAGAUUUUAGAUGCGGGUUCCUACUGGAGGACGAUCUCGAAGGAUUGUGGCAGAUACGUGAAGAAAUGUGAUGCCUGUCAACAUACAUGUAACAUUUCAAAUAAGAAUGAAAUUCCUAUUACCAUCUCCAUGCUUGUAGAAGUUUCUAUUGUGCGGGGUAUUAGUUUUAUGGCCAUUUCCCAUAGUCCCAUGGUAACAAGUAUAUCCUUGUUAUUUUGGAUCAUGUGUCAAAGUGGGCAGAGGCAUAAGUGCUGCCUACUAACGAUGCUUGGAUAGUGGGAAAGUGUAUCACACGGCUUUUCAUGCAUUUUGGUGCCCCUCAUGUUAUUGUUAGUGGUAGGGGCACUCACUUCUAGAGUCAAUUCGAUCUUGUGUUCCAAAAAUUUGGUGUAACUCAUCGAUUAACCACUGCUUAUCAUUCACAUACAAGCGGUCAAGCGGAGGUGACGAAUCGUGAGCUGAAGCGGAAUCUUGAUUGACAGUCGAUCAGUCUCACAAGGACUGGUCAAUUCGGCUCGAUGAAGCUCUAUGGGCUUAUCGAACUGCCUUCAAGACUCCUAUCAGUACUUUGUUGUAUUAACUAGUUUAUGGCAAGCCUUGUCAUUACCGAUCGAGCUUGAGCAUAAGGCAUGGUGGGCCAUGAAGCUAUUAAACAUGGAUGAUAGUUUGUAGCUUCAAAACACAAAGAUCAGCUCCUUGAGCUAGAGGAGUACAAGUUUCAUGCUUAUGAGAGCUCAUGGCUAUACAAGAAGAGGAUGAAACGCAUCCAUGAUGCCAAGCUUCAAGGUGUCAAGGACUUUGAGAAGGGAGAUAAAGUGUUUCUUGACAACUCCCGCCUCCGACUGUUUUUGGGAAAAUUACAAUCAAGAUGGUCGGGACUAUAUGAAGUCACACAAUCAUUUCCCUACGAUACCGGGAAGAUCACACAUUCGUGCCAAGGAACAUUCAAGGUCGACAGUCACCAUCACAAGUGAUAUCACAGUUCCAAGCCUACUAAUUGAGUCAAAGUUCAUUACUUCACUGAUGGUAAAUAAAAGGCGAGGUAUCGUCUAGCUCAAAGAGGUUAAAAAAGAGCGGUUCAUGGGAGGCAGCUCAUGCUUGGAGUCUAUAUUUUGCAUUUUAUUUUGAGUCAAAUUGCAUGUUUAGGUGUUAGAUCGAGUCUAGAACAUGAUACUUGAGUCCCAUUCCUAUCCCAAGUCAUCGAUGAGAAGCGUUUUGAAUUUUGUGUGAAGGGUGGAAGGUCACAGAACAAUAUGUCAACCUUAGCGCUAUAGAUCUGGGUCAAACAUGAGCACCAGAGUUGCACUACCCCGCCCACCGCCACCACAUGGAUAUCAGCGACCGCCAAUAGAGUUUGCUGGCAUGGUGAGGUCAGUAUAGUAGUGGCAGAUCAAUUUUGGGGAGGGUAGUCUUCCAUGGCAGCAGUAGUAGACAGCCUGACAGACGUCAUUUGAUUUGGGACAGUGACCUUCAUAGAUCGAGCAGAGGAGAGUUGAGUAGGAACACCAUGAUCGAGCCCACCACACUCGCCUUCACUAGAUGACUACUGAUCCAGUAUCAUCAUUCUAGUUUCUCAUUAUGUGUUUGAGUGUUUUUCAGAAGUUAGUGUCGCCACGAAGGUUGAACUUCAUGAGUCAUGUAUGAGCCUCUUGGAUUUCAGACAACAUCCAUGUUUUCCUGUGUAACUUUUCGCUUCAUUUAGUGAGGACACUUUCCGAACUAAGUUUGAGGUGGGUUUGCAUAGGAUUUGUGUAUGCUAGUCUUGUUGGGUAGUUGUUUUACAUGUGCAUCCUAAACUCAAGCUUGUUGGAACUAUCUUUGAAUCAAUUACUUGGCAUGCUUAGAAAAAUUCCUUGUGAUUUGUGCACUUGAAUUGCUGAAUUACUUGUGAACCUAGAUUUGAUAGGAGUAUAGGCCUAUGAUCAAAGUCUAUUGAUUCAUUCUUUAGAAGCAGAUCUGAGGCAUAGACUCUAACACUUAUAUCCCUUCUACAUGGAAGUUUCAUCAAGUUUCAAUGUGAAUGAAUUCAAUCGGAGACUAGAGGAGCUGGGAACGAUAAACAUCCUCCACCGGCCUAGGUUUCUUCUUCGUAGCACAUGGUUGAAAUAGAAAUGAAGAAAAAUCAGAAGAAACCAUUUGGAGGCGGAGUGAUGAUGGUGAUAAUGAGGAGGUUUUGGUACCUUGUAUAAUUCAUCUCCAAUUAAAAAGGUAUUAAAAAUUAACGGUUUUUAAAUUGAUUGUUUUUAUUGACGGUGAAGGAGGUAUUAACUGAUGAAAGAGGUAUAGUGAAGAAAAGAACUUAUGGAACUUAAAAAAGAAAAAGAAAAUAGAAAAUUGGAAGGGAAGUUCACGUAUUUAAAUCGAAUAAAUUUGGGUGAUCUAGUUGUAUUGUUUAGCAUAUUUGGGUGUUAACUCAAUAUUAUGUUUAUUAAAAAAUCGACCAAUAAUAUUCCGCCACAUAACAUUUGUACCGGAUGCAUGUUUCCACCAAAAUGUUUCCUUAUAUUAAACUGAUUUGUUAAGUUUGAAUGUAUAUUAACUUUAAAAGAAUCGCAACAAAUGGGAGGGUUUUUGCUUUUUGAGAUAGAGAGAGAAAAUAGUGGUAGAUGGUCUGAUGAGAAGAACCCAAGAGCAAUAUGCCCUACAAGUUCUCAUGCAAAAAACUGAAGGACUUGGGAUUGGAAUUCACACCAAUGACGCAGAGCCUGUAUGAAGCAAUCAAGUCCCUUGAGGAAAAGUGUCAUUUUUCUCCCCCUAAACAACAGCAGCACCACAAGAAGGAGGAACCCAUGAAAAUUCAGUCCUCUUCUUAAUAAUAAUUAAAUCUACUACAUACCUAACAAAUGGCAAUCCUUGUUCGUUUGCAUAAUUAAAUAUAUGAAAAAAUUAGAUUUACCGGGGAAGACGCCUUAUCUGAUUUGACCAACUACGUACUUGUUUGUUACUAUUUUGAUUGUAUUGGGGUUCUAUUAUAUUCUACAAUCCUUUGUAUCGGUUGGUCAUUCAUAUGAUGAAAGUAUCAAGUCUUGUGUUGUAAUUGGUGUUUGUUAGCCCUACUAUAAUUAAACAAAUGCUUAAGUUGUUGUAAGAGAUAUAAUAAGAGGGGAAAAAUGAAACAUAGGAACAUACCUAUGGUAAGUACCGAAGCAAUGAUAAUUAGUUCCCCGGCUACAGAAGAUACACCGAUUAGAGCAACAAUUAGAAUGGGAACUAUGGCCAAACAUCUUGUUAAGAAAUUUCAGAUCCAUGGCUUCAAUCGUAGAUCAAGGAUGCCCUGCAAUGUAUUUUUCCAAACAUGUGAGGAAACAUCAGAACAUCUCAGCUUCUUCUAUGAAAUCUGUAUACAAUUGCAAAUUUUAACCUAUAGAAUUUUCUACAGCUGCCGUGGAAAUUGAAAAUCUGGAGGAGAGGAGCUGAGAUGAGGUGGAGUGCUGUCAGUUCGUAUCUGUUGACUGUAACGCAGAGUGACAUCAAGGAUCGGAUAUUAGAAGCAGAGAUAUCCACGAUGUCAAUGUUGGGAUGAUUUAAAUUAAAUUUUCCAAGGCCAAUGCUUUAUUUGAGAAAAUUGAAAUCUAUUAUUAUUGAAUUUAAGUAAAGUGUCUAUUUUGUAAGUUGUUUUUUUAUUUUCGAAAAUUUUUAAAAAGAAAUUAAAGAAUGCAUGGCCCAUAUUCAGUCUUAAAACGAGCGGUCCAAAUCUGAUGAAAAUAGCGGGUGCACCCGGUGCACUAGAUGCACUGAAGACCUAUGCAUCAGCCAACACAACAAUAACCGCUUCACUUAAAUAUAUUUACAAAAGGUGCUUUAACUUAAUAUAAUUAAAAGUAGGAAACUUUGCCAAGGUGAUCCAUUGUCUCCUUAUUUGUUUUUAUUGUGCUCGAAAGAUUUUUCAGCUUCAAUUAACAAGUACGAGAAGGAAAAGAAGAUACAUGACAUGAAAAUUUACAACAGAGCCCUUAUAUUUUCCCAUUUAUUUUUUGCAGUUGAUUGUAUAAUGUUUGCAAGAGCAAAUAUGGAGGAAAGGACAAAAGCUUCUAAUGAGGCCGUGCGAAAGCUCUCCAUUUCUGCGCACUGAGGCGAGUUGCUGUCAUACAUAGCUCCGGCUGCGGGUGCGCUCCAGUUGUGCGACAUCCGGUUGUGACUUUGGCAAGCAUAACUAGGAUCUGAGGUUUCCUCAGAUCAUCUCUCUUCUUUUCUCGUUCCUCUUGUCUUGCUUGUAGAUCCAUUAAUGGCGAUCAUCUUCUUCGUUGAACUAUUCUAAAGUGGGUGAGCUUCUGGAGAGAGUUCCGAAGGUUGUGAUCUGGUUGGCGACCGCUUGGCGGCUCCAUGAUAGCAAUUUCGUUCUUCUUCUAGUUGAUUCUCCUCUAAUUAUGCGCUUCUAAUGAGUGAAGGUCCUAAAUCAUGGAUCGAGUUGUUCUCUAUGUCAAAUGACUUUAAGCUUGAUUUUGUUGAGUCUGACCAAAUUGAUGGUGCUCUUCAAAUCCCCAAAAUGUUGUGGAUGAAGGACUUCAGAGAUUGAAGUUAUGCCUCGUCGCACAAUUCCUUGGCGAUCCUCCGACUAUGCCUAAGCAACAAGUGAUUGCUAAUUGGUUAUGGGGGAGAGAUGGCUUCAUUAGGGUUUAUGCUAUGGAAAAUGGCCUUUUCAAUUUCAAUUUUGUUUGUUGAGAAGUUUGAUUGGAUCAUCGGCUCGGGGCCUUGGCACAUGAAGAACUCUUCUAUUCUCUUUCGCCGUUGGGGAAUAGACAUCCAUCUGAUUGUCAAUACGGAAAGUGUUACGCCUGUUUGGCUAAAGUAUCAAAUGUUUCGAUGCCACUUCAAAAUAAGAAAGGACUCACUCGGUUGGCUAGCACCAUUGGUAAGCCAUUGAAUAUGGACAUGACUAUGAAGGAUGUUGUUGGCUCUAAAGCCAAGGUUUGUAUUGCUAUCGAGACAUCUCAAAUGUUACCUGAUUCCAUUCCUAUCUCAGUUGUUGGUAAGCCUCCCAUUCUAGUUAAGGUGGAGUAUGUGCACCAUCCAUUGUGUUGCAUUUCUUGUGCAGUCUUUGGCCGUUGCAGCUGUCUUGGGACUUUGGUCGUUGCAGCUAUCUUGGGACUAGGGUAUAGGAUAAGGAUAAGGGAUGUGGGAUUGCUAAGACGCUUGAUAUCUCUAAAGUUUUGCAAGAACCUGUUUCUGAUACCCUAGAGGUGGUUAUUCAGAAUACUACGGCAGAGGUGUGUUGCCCAGAAUGUUGUUCCAGAGUUCGUUGUUCAAAAUUUAUCAGUAAAUGAGCCUGCUACUUCCAUGGGAAUCCCUGUUGCCUCAACUAGUAAAGUGAGAAGUGAAACUUCUACUAGUAAGCCCCUUGUGCCUGCUCAGACUAAGAAGCAAAAAGCAAAAUUAAAUAUGGAGAAUUGGUUCAACCAUCUGUCAUAUCAGUCGGAUGAUAUUCUCUCCAAUUUGGGUGACCAUCCCUUUGUUAAUGGUGAAAGUCGCAAGAAGAGUUAAUGAAUGUUCUUUCCUAGAAUCUUUGGAGGUAUAAUUCCCUUAAAAAUAUAGGUUUUUAGUUUCUUACCUUGAAAAGUAUAAUAUAAAUGUAGUAGCUAUACUAGAAACUAGAGUUGCUAUAGGUAAAGCUGAUGAUAUUAUAGUUAAAAGCUCUCUGUCUUGGAACUUCUUUGGUAACUAUGAUAAGAGCAAGUUGGGAAAGAUUUGGAUUCUAUGGAGAUCCAGUCUUCAUUUUACAUUUUCCUGCUACUCGGAUAAAUUUGUCUUGGUUGAGAUUGGUGGUGGUCCUAAUUUCAUAUUUGUAAUAAAGAAAAUGAAAGACUAAAGAUGUAUACUGAUUUAUUUUUAGUAUUAUUAAGGAGAUGACCACCGUGUUUGCUACUGUUGGGGACUUUAAUACUAUUCUCUCCACUACUGCGGUAGUAAUACCUCUAGUAUGAUUAAUUUCCGUAAUUGGGUGAUCAUCCUUCAAUUGGACUUGUUUUUACUUGACAUAACAAUCAAGAGGAGAAUCUAAUUGCACGAUGUUUGGAUAGAUGCUUGAUUAACCCACUUUGGUUGAGCUGUGUUUCUGAUAGUACAGUUGAAUUGUUUGCUCUUGGGGUUUUAGAUCAUUGUGGUGUUUAUAUUGAUUCUAAAGUUAAUCUUGAAAUCUUACCUAAACCCUUCAAGUUCUUUAUCUCUUUGACUGCUUAUGCUGGCUAUGAUGAUGUUGUAAGCUUGCAUGGUCCUCUAUGAAUUCUACUCGUCAGGGCACCUUCAGAACUGUUUAUAGUAAGCUAAACAAUGUUAAAACUGCUAUUCGUAAGCUAAAUACUGAGCAGUUUUCAAACAUUAGUGGCAGAGUGAAAAAGCUUGAAAAUGAUCAGUAUAAUGCCAAGAUGGAAGCUCUUAUAGUUCCCUCAUAGGUGAAUGUUGCAAAGGCUCAUAAGAGACAAGUUGAAUGGGAUUCUAUGAAAACUAUGGAGGAGUCUUUUCUCAGUCAAAAAGCUAAAGAGAACUGGCUCAAGCUUGGAGAUGGUAACAAUGCUUUCUUCCAUCCUCGUUGUAAGAAGCUCUCCCUCAUCAACCUCUAUUUUUUGGAUGAUCAACUGGUUUUCACUAGUGGGUCUGCUAUUGGGAUUGAGGGCAUCUACUCUGUUCUAAAGAAGUUUUAAAAGCAUUUCGAGUUGUAGUUGAACCCAAACAAACUGAAAUCUUCAUCUCUCACUCAGUUAAUCAGUAUACUCGUGAUUUCAUCAUCAAUAUGUCAGAACUUAAGGAAGGGAAUCUGCCAAUUCGAUAACUUGGAGUGCCUCUAAUCUCUAGUAGGCGCACUACUCAUGAUUGUGACAUCUUGGUGGAUAAAAUCACUACUAGGGUAUCCAGUUGGCGUGAUAAACUCCUCAGCUACGUGGGACUACAAUUAGUCACCUCUGUUCUUGCUUUUAUGAGUCAGUACUGGCUAUCAGUAUUUCUACUCCCUAAGAUGAUUAUAAAAAAAGUUGAACAAAAAUGCAGUGAUUUCUUAUCUUGUGGUCAGUCGGGCAAGGGGGUAGGAAAAGAGCAAAGUUUGUAUAGUCUGACAUUGGUAAACCCUAACAAGAAGGUGGUCUAGGUCUCAAGGACCUUGUAACAUGGAAUGUAGCUUGUGUCAUCAGGCAUUUUUGGGAAGUACUUUUGGAUGCAGGUUCUAUUUGGAUUGCUUGGCUUAUGCGCUAUCGGUUAAAAUUCAAUAUAAUUUGGAACUGUAAAAAGCAGCCUUAUCAUUCCUAGGUUUGGAAAAGGGUUCUGAAAAUCCGAUCCAUUGCAGCACCUUUUGUGCUCCUUUGAUGAAGAUGGUACUCCACUAUGGGAGGGCCCUAGUAUGCCUCAAUAUUCUAUCUCUUUGGUUUGGAAUUAAACUCGAUUACACUCAGCUAGAGUUAUGUGGUGUGACUUAAUCUGGAAGGGACCAUCUAUCCCAAAGCAUAGCUUUAUUAGUUUGCUUGUAGUGAGAGGGAGGCUUGUUACUAAUUUUUCUAGGACUACUUGGGGAUUACCCCGAGAUAUCUCUUGCUCUCGUGUGAAGAGGGUUUAGAUGACAUUAAUCAUAUCUUCAUACGUUGUUCUUAUAAGUGAUACUAUAUGUGCGUUCUUUAAUUUGCUUCUUACUAGGCAUGGUGAUUGGAUGAAAGAAGUGGAGAUUGUUGGUGGUAGAUUUGCAGGUACCACUGAUGCCGUGAAACGCAGGAGAUGUGUUUGGCAUGCUUUAAUUGCGAUGGUUUGGUAUGGAAGAUGCUCCCAAAAUGCUGGAAAUCUAGGGGUGAAGGUAGAAGACAUUAUAGAUAGAAUACAUAGAGUUAUAACUACGAAGAUGGGAUGAGUGGUUUUGUUGUUUCUAGAUUGUAGUUGAGCUUCUUUGUUGUAUUUGUGUAAAUGAAAUUUUUGUUCGAUCGGGUGUUAUUUUUUGAAGUUGUGAGGUUGUGGCUUCCUGCACGAUCCUGAUGAAUAAAAUUAUUCAUCAAAAAAAUGUGGAGGAAGGAAAAAGAUUCAAGGAAUUCUAGAUACUUAUGAAAAGGAAUCGGGACAACUGGUGAACAAAAAGCCGCACGUGGCACGGAGGCAGCACAGUUAUCCAAAUGACAGAUAAAAACAAGAGAAACUAGAGGCAAUGAACGAAGAAGAGUUUGACAUUCUGGUAAGACUUGACCAAAUCUAACAUUGUGGGAAGUGGAAGUGAUUAGCCGUACUGCUUCGGCAGAAUCUGAAUAGAUAAGGAUACUAUCUGAAGGUUUGAAGAGGUCGCCAAAAGAGCACAUCUAAUUGCAAGAAACUCGAGCGAAAGAUGGUCCAUAAUAUGGUUGAUGAUUUGUCUCGUUACGAAAACAAUUGAGUUGCAAUGCCACCGAAAAACCAUCCUUGUUGCGCCAUAACCUUCAAGGGCCGCAUCCUGUCUAACUGUUGCGUCAAUGAAAAUCCUCCAUGAAGAGUCCCGUAAUUGUGAGGAUGGAAGAGCUGUAUUAUUUGAAACCACUAGGAACGCAGCAAGGUCCCUGUUAGGAAGGCAUGGACCUGAUAGCCACUGAGAUAAAAAGUGACGGUGCAAAGUAUCAAGAGAUAGCUGGGUAUUCUCAAAGACCACAAGAUUCCUAGACUUCCAAAUCCUCCACCAAAAGAAAAUAACUAUCACUACUGUUGCCUUGUCGGAAGAAAGUAUCCUUCUCCGAAAAAUGACAGUAGGCACGUCGUUGACUAUAAAAGUGGAACAGUUUGCAGCACCAGCAAAUCGAAUAGUAACAGAGCAGAGGAAUUGAAGAUGAUGAAGGGUCUCUCAGACAAACCACAGACCCUACAUGUCAAGGGGAUAUGAAAAUUGAAAAUUUCUAAUGUAUUCGCUAACGGUAAGAUGUUAUGAAAAAAUUUCCAGAGAACAAAUUUAAUCUUAGGUUGAAUAUGAAUUCCCAAACCGCCGCCCAAAGCGAAGAAUCUGUUAGAUGAGGACGUGCUCGAAUUUCCUGACACUGAGAACGAAGAUGAUGACUAUACCCCAAAGCGGCGAAAUAUUUUCCAGAAAGGGUGAAGCUCCAAAUCCAGCGAACCGGGAUGGGGGAGAGGGGGGUAGAAAUUGAGAUAAUUCUCUGAACAGAGGGUGGACAGAAUAACUUGCGAAGCAGAUUUUCAUUCCAGGUCUCAUGAAUAAUAACCGUCGCAAAAACCUCUGGAAUUGGGAUUGUGCUGGGUGGAGGAAUAUGCGCCGAGGGAGGGGAGGUAGGUAACAAGUUGGACUCUAGUGAGGGGAUACCCAUAUCAGAGCCAACUAGUCAUCGCCCGCCGGCGAGAAGGAGUUUUUGACCAAAAAGAAUUCAAUUGCAACACGAGCUAACAGGGGAACCCUUGGAGGCUGUCAGAAGCGAAGACGUAAGGUAGUAACGACCUUCAAAACAUUUGCAGCCAAAGAAUGUGCAGAAUGCAUUAGACGCCAACACAAGGACGCAAGCAGCGAUUGAUUGAUGGAAAUGAAAUUUCUGAAACCAAGUCUCCUAUCAAGUUUAGGGUGACAAAUGUGGCCCAAGACUUCUAAUGAAUACGCAUAGUCGAUGGACUAGCUCCAGAAAUUUGAACAUCGACAUAGCAUAACACUGAAGGGAGGAGGCUAUAGAUUUGAUGAGAACUUCCAUUCCUGCCGGAGAUAAACAUUUAGCCUUCCAUCCUUAUACGAUGGCAGUGGAAGCUUGAGAACGAGCUAUGUGUGUUGGAAUUCCCAAGAAACGAAAAGUGGAAGCUCGAGAACGAGCUAUGUGUGUUGGAAUUCCCAAACACUUGUCACAAAUGCCGAUGUUGGGAAUUUGGAGUUGAUGACCAAUGAUAGCUUGUAACGCAGUUGAAGUGUUGGAACUAAAGUAAAUCGCCGACUUGGCCAAGUUGAUAGAUUGGCCACUCAGAGAUUCAAAGAAGAGAAGAAUAUCCAACAACUGAUUAGAGGAAGCCGAAGUAGCCUCGAGAAAAAAGAAAUUAUCAUGAUGGUUCAAUCGAAUCCUAGUGAGUUGGCGAGAUGAGAUAGCCGAACUAAUGAGGGUAAUUAAUCCUUAGAUAUAAAAUAGCAAAGAGAAGUGGUGAAAGGGGGUCACCUUGACAGAGACCCCGGGAUGAAGUGAAGGUUGAAGAUGGUCUACCAUUCAUAAGAACGGAGAAAGAUGUCGUGGAUAGGCAUUCAUAAAUCCACAUAUCCGGGUGGGAUGGAAACCAAGUUUGGUCAUGACGGUAAAAAGAUAGCACCAUUCAAUUAUAUAAUAAGCUUUUACCAUAUCAAGCGUGAGGGCCAUAAAAUGUUUUUUACCCUUUUUUCAUUUUAAGGUACUGCAGGACCUCAUGAGCGAUUAUGACAUUAUCGGAGAUAUCCCUUGUUGCUACAAAAACAUUUUGUGUUGGACUGAUAAACGCAUGUAAGAUCGAAGCUAGUGGAGAACAUAGAAGCUUUGCAAUAAUUUUGUAGAUUAGUUGACAGAGCCCAAUCGUCCUGACGUGUAUCAUUGACACCGCCCCAGGGACCUUAGGAAUUAACAUUAGCCAAGUGUGAUUAAUGCUUUUUAACAUUCUUAAGGAAUGGAAAAAGCCCCGAACGACUGAGCAAACAUCUGGACCAAUUACUGCCCAGAAGUGUUGAAAGAAAGCGGCGGAGAAGUUGUCCGGCACCAGUGGUUCGGAAGAGCCAAUGGAAAACCUUGCAUGACUGACGUCUAAGUCAUAAAAAGGUUGUGUAAGCAUCAAGUUCAUCUCCUGAGUGACCCAUACAAGGCCUCGAUCAAGGUUCGAAAUGUUUGGGGAAGUAGAAGAAGCUGGAAAUUGAGAUUUCAAUAAGUCCUUAAAGAAGGAGACUGCGUGUGAAGUCUUUGCAGCUUCAUCAGAAUAAAUUGUUCCAUCAGACCCAGUGAUACGACCCAAGCGAGUAAACUAUCGACAAGCUAUGGUGGAAUGGUGAAAAAUGCCAUCUUAUGGUCACCAAACUGCAACCAAUAUUUCUGACAUUUCUGCCGCCAAAAUCGACUUUCUUGAUCACAUGCUAAUGAAAGAUCUCGUUCAAGAGAUGAGAUUUGGUCCCAAGGGAUUGGAUUUCGACCAUGAAGAUCCUGCAGUGCGUCCUUGAGUUCUCGAAUCUGGCGUGCACUGUUAGAGACACCUAAACAUUGCCAUUCAUGCUGGGCAUGCCUGAGGAGUUUUAAUUUGGAGUGCAGAAAAAAAUAUUCUAGACCCCUGAAUGGGGCUUGACCAAACCAAGUGAAACAUCGGCGCAAGCUCUAAAUUCUCCAUCCAACGAUUAUCAAAUCGAAAGAACAUAGGUGCAUGAUCCUCAGGAAGCGAAAGUUGAUGAAAGAUGACCCUAUGAUCGUACCCUAGGUCGAUAAGUUGGGAUACAAUGGCAUAAGGGAAAAGAAGGUAGCAGGGGAUGUUAGACACAAGAAACAAUCAAGAUGGCAGGACACCUGCAGACUAGACUCUCUGCAGCGAUUAGACCAUGUAAAUUCAAGCCCUGUGAAAUUUGGGUCGAAAAGCCCAUGAUCACUAAUGUGUUCAAAAAUGAGCCACCAACCCAGGCUUGAUGGGGUGAAUGCCUGAUUUUUCCCUAUAUGUUGUCACUACAUUGAAAUCCCCAAAGACUAUCACUAGAAGCGAAGUUCAGGGAAUAAUACUCGAAAGGAAAGUAAACUCAUUCGAACGAGUAGAGGCAUCACAAGAUAUGUAAACUCCCAAUAAUAAGGUCUCUAAGUAAUUAGGUAACAUCAUCUUAACUGCAAUGUAAAAAGAGGAAGAAGAAACUACAAAGGCAUUACAAUCUGCUUGCCACACGAGUGCAAUACCUCCAGCAGAAACAUUACUUCAAUUAACUAUAAUACUAUUACUACUUGGGUAGCAAAGGGAACAAAAUAGAUUGGCUACAUUAGCAGAAGAGAACGUCGUCUCAGCAAGAUAUAAGAAGCGAGCCUGAUAUCUGGUGGACAGGUUGUGGAGAGUGUCACUGCCCAGGGCGCCACCGAUUCCCUCGUAGUUCCAAGUGAUAAUCCUCAUUUGGAUGGGGUGGGCCGCUCUGGGUGGGCCUCCGUCACCAUCGAAGUAGAUACAAUAUCGGUAACCGCUAUCAUGUCAGGAUCACCAUCCAGGAUAUCGUACUUGAGAAAUUUUGAAUCCAUCCCAGUGUUAGGGAAAUCCUCUAAAGUGAGACGUGAUAUGGUUUUUGGCUUCUUUGAAGAUCAAGAGGAGUCAUCCAAGUCAUCCUCUACGCAUUGGCUCUUUCUAUCAAUUAGAGCCAACCCCUAGAGAUCUAGGUGAUCACAAUAUACCCAAGGCAUUAAGUUGGAGAUUAAAGGGGGCAUGUAACAAGGAAAUUUAGUAACCACAGUAGAGGAGGAGAAUAGACAGAAAGAGUUGGCUAGAUUGAUAUUAUGCAAUGUUGAUUGAAUACCAGAACCAUCAUUGAUAGAUAAUGAGCCAACAGAAUAAUUACUUCAAAAUAUGUUGAGAGAGGGAGAAAUGAAACAAUGGUAGAAGCAUUUAGUUCGAAUACCAGAGCAGAGAGGAGCAACCGAGUUAGGGGCCUCGUCAGAUCCUUCAAUCACGAAAGAGAUAGCUGGAUCUAUACCCAAAAGAAUCGAAGCAGUCGAAGAGGAUAGUGAUCAGCGACAUGAACUGGAACCCAAGUCUCGAAGUCAGCAGGGAGUGGUUUGAGAUAUUUUAGCUGCUGUUUUGAAGUAGAUGCGUCCGAGAAGUCCGGAGACAUCACAAUAUGACUGUAAGGCUUUGCGAGCAUCCAAAGUCCUUGCUCCCUAGGAGUGAAGACAAUAGCCUUUGCAUAGGGGCAAUAAGUAUGGUCGUGGGAAAGAAGACUGCAAACAUAGCACACAGUCGUAAUCGUUUCAUAAUGAAGAAGCACCCAUGAUUAUCGACGACCAACGCGAGCCAUGAUGUGCCCCUGCAGACUCUUUGAAAGACCAAUUUUAAUAAUGCACUUGUGAAAUGGUGUCCUUGGGCAUUCAGACGAGGGGAGAACUUAUCUGUGCUGAUCAAAGUCCCUAAAAGGAUGAACCAGUUUUGCUCCAAACAUGGCAUCAUUGGGAGAAGGAGGCAGAUCUUUCAAGGCAUGAACUACAGACAGUCGAAAAGAUCCUAGCUCGGAGAUUCCCAGGCAACAAGAUGAUUUGUCAAAAAGAUCCUGCCUCCAAGGGGUAGACAAACUAGAGCAUCCCAUAACCCACUUCAAACACCUUGAGAUCCUCAAAAGGAAUUGGGCAGACAAAGCAUGAAGCAACAUAUGACAGGGCUUCAGCAUAGGCCAGAACACAAGACCAAUAAGGCUCAGAUCCGUCUGAUCUCGGUUUUGAUCAUCUGAGAAAUCGAUCGUGAAGUGGGAUCGGAUUAUUGAAGGGGGGAGAGGCUCCAUAUGAAUUGGGGUAGUGGUGACAGGAGGAUCUGAAAACAGGAAAUCCAACAGAGUAAACAAUAGGUGAUUAAAAAGAGAGCGGAAAUGGUAUAGGUGAGAAAUCAGAACCUAGGUUUGUAAAAAAGGAAAGAUCCUUCAGAUAAAUAACCGAAGAGGGGCAACAGUUUUGAGAUAGGAUAAGGAUCUGAAAACCACAAGAACCGUCGCUCUCCAACUGCCAGGGGGAAGAUGGGGAUUAAUGAAACAGCAAAAAAUGCCUAGAAGACGACAUACACCCGAAGAUGGGCAGGGGACGGUGCGGAAAAUCGCUACGAAAGAACGCUGGAAGAAGUCAACAUAAACCAUAAACCAUUAAAAGAGAGGAUGAGAUUGGAAAUGGAAAAGAAGGAAAAGAAGGGGGCGGACGAAGAAGCAAAGGGUCGGCGGAUAAAGCAAGAGGAAUCCAUUUGAGUAAAAAUGAAAUAAUAAUAAUAAUAAUAAUAAUAAAACUCAAAAUAUAUUUGUGUAAAUUUGAGUAAGAAAGUGAAAAAUAUGAAUGAUAAAUGUCCAAAUUAUGGAAUGAAGGGCACUUAAACAUUGCUUGUUGAAUUGUUGUUGGGUGGUUAUAAUUUGGUGUAAGACCCUUAUAUCACAUCUUUUUUUCAUAUAGAAGGUUUUGUGUGAUAUUGUUGGUGUAAGACACUUAUAUCACAUUUUUUCUUUCAUGUCGAAGGUUUUUGUGUGAUAGUUUUGGAAAGAAAGAAACAAAUUUUAAAAAAGUAAUACAUUUUUACAGGAAUCUUCCGAAGACCUGAAGUCUUCAUUGAACUGUUAUGUGAAAUUCAAGGGAGGAUCAAAAGCAAAAUUAAAAUGUCAGAAGGAGAGGUUGUAAAUGGAAAAAAUCACCAGUGGGGACUUUCAAGCUCAAUACUAACAUUGGCAUCAACAAUAGUGAUGGAAUUCGACUUGGUUGUGUUGUGAGAGAUUGGAAUGUGAUGGUAGUUCUUGCGGCAAACAAGAGUGAUAUAGUUAAAUGUGCGUGUGACAUUGCAGAAGCAAAAGCUAUGUUGUUUGGGAUGCCAAAAGCAGUUGAGAAUAGAUUCAAGCCUUUGAUCUUUGAGUCCGAUUGCAAGAAGAUAAUAGAUUUAGUCGAAAAGAAUGAAGAGUGUCGGCCGGAGAUUGAUAAUGUGUGCAGAGAUUGGUAAUGGGGGAGCAAUACCUCUAUUUUUUGUGUGGAGAGAUUCAAGCCUCUCAAUACCUCUAUUUUUUGUGAGACUUUAUGGAAUGAUUUUACCCGUCUGCAAUUGUAGAUGUUGUAACCCAGGAGGAUCCUUUGAUUCAUUCUUAAUGAAAACUCAUUAAUUUUUUUUAAAAUAAAACUCAACUUGAGGUUGCUAAUCACGAUUUGAAGAGAAUAUACUCUCUUUCUUAAAAAUAUAUAUUUCCUUUAUAACUACAGAACCCAAUCCUCCAUUUGGGGGGCCCUUGUGGUUGUCGGCAACAACACCACUCUCCCUUUUUAUUUGCCUUUUUAGAUUAUUUUCUAUAUAUGUUAAGUUUUUCCAUUUUCUAUCUUUCUUGCUUUAUGUCUAUCUUUCAAUGAAUUUCUUCCUAAGUUUGAGUUGAUCUUGAUGGUUUGAGUUUUGAACUAUUUAUCUCAAUCCGAUUUAGGAUUGUGGGAUGGAGUGGACAUUUUACUCUUUAUUAUUUUUCCUUCCAUGAUAAAAAAUUUACGUACAAAUAUAUUGCAUGAAAGUGUAGGGUUGAUCCAUGGUUAGGUUUGGUUGAGUUUGAUAAUAAAAUAAACUCAGCUGCUAAUUUGUGGGUCACUCUUCAUACGACCCACACUCACCCACUUAAUGAUGUUGGGUGGUUGCGUGUGGGUAAUAGCAGGUGGAUGGGUGGAUUUAGGUGGGUUAGGCGGAUUAGUAUAAACUCUAUUAAAACAUGAAAUCAUAUUAAAGUUGAACAAAAAAUAAUAAAAAUGAGGCAGAGACAUCCAUCACCCAUGGACCUUCAGACGCAUUCUCAAAGCUAAAUAGUACAAAUUAUUAAAGCAAAAGUUGUACUGUCCAAAAGAUCUAGGAGCGAAUCAAGAUUUUUGGGAGAUUUGCACCAGAAGGUUAAAGAUAAUAUGAAAAUUAUAGGCCUCGUAGACUAGUAUAGUUAAUUGGUGGGUUAGGUGGGUAACCCAUCACCCAACCCAAACCUACCCACUAAUUGGUGGGUGACUAGGUAGACAACCCAACCCCACCCAUAAUACCUACACAGUUUUGAGCGUAUUGACUUACAACGUGUGGGUUUGGUGGGUAACUCGACCCAAUAGUCACCCCAUUGAAAGUGGUUGAAAAAAUAUAUAUUCACACGAUGAAACUUGCCUAGCUUGCUUAUUAUGUAGUAGGUAAUAGCUAGUAUUCACAUUCACAAAAACCAAAUAGGGAAAACUAUCAUUGUCAAAAGUACUCAUUUUUCAAGGAGCUCCGUGGUAGGAGGAUCAUACAUAAAGCCUAACUAGAGCAAACAAAUCAAAAAGGAAAGGGGUGGAGGAAUGAUGAACCAAACUGGGAGGAGGAAAAUGACGACUAAUGUGACACCCCGAUUUUGGGUUAAUAUCUGACUCGGGAUUUAGUUUCGGUUAUGUGAGUCUCUAAGAAUCAUUGUCGGAUGGACCGUCACGGGUGUGACUGAUAAUCUGUCACGGGUGUGAUCAUCAGAUAGAUCACGGUCGUGGUCUGUGUGGUUACCAGGUCAUCACGGGUGUGGUGGUCAGUAGGUCACAUACGUGGUAGACAGCUUAUAAAAUCAGAGCCGCAAUUCCAAAGUUUAGGUCGAAGAAACCAAAUUUUUU
rnacentral:lncRNA from 1 species